UGUGUUUGAGGUAGAACUUGCCUAUGAAGGACGUCCAGAAAGAGUGUUUGUAGGACAAUUCCAUAAUAAAGAUAUUGAAGUUUAUGCUUAGUCACAAAUAAAAGGCUUGGAGUACUAUCGAUGGCUACAAGGGCCUAUGAACAAUUUAGCUCACAAAAAAAAACUGAAAUAUAUAACAGCCACCAUGUGACAGAUCUUUAAUUUCUUGUUCAUAUACUAGCUUGCUGCAACAUUACUUCUCAGAGACCUUGAAGCUAGAAGAAGAGUUGAUGUCACGGACAUACAAGUGAAGAAGAUUCGAGAAGGUUCUAGAAGGUACCAAUAGGUUCUAAAAAGAUUCUUGAAGGUUUAAGGAGAUUUUAGAAGGUUCCAAUAGAUUCUAAGAAAGUUCUAGAAGGUCAUAGGAGGUCCUAAAAGAUUUUAAGAGGCUUUAGAUGAUUUAGGAAGUUGUUGAAGAAGGAGCUUAGCCUUGCUUUGUUUUUAAGCCUCAUAAAAACUUUUCAAGCAGCUUCCUAAGACCUAGUAUAUAUAGGAGUUAAGGUUGAGGCAUCCUCAAUCUCGACAACUCACUUCUUGUAGUCAAGCCAGGACCUUCUUGCUUUGUAUCUAGUUGUUGUUUUAAUGUCAAGUUAACUCCAUUAGUUGAACUUAAAUCCUUGUCUUGUAUAUGGUUCCUAACAAGUUUGCUUCUUUCUUUCAUUCAUUAGCUGUAUUACAUCACAUUAAUGUUAGAUAUUAAUUCUAAGAGUAUUGACAAGCUUAUAAAGAUUUGUAAUAGUUAGAAAUGUAUUCUCACUUCUAUCAAGAGAAGCAUCUAUAAAUUUUCCUUCUAUGGAUAAUUCAAAUAAACUCACAAGUCAAAUUAGAAGAAGAUAAUCUACAACUUCUAAUACCAAAUCAAAAUUUCUAUAAAAAAAAAAUAGUCCACUCUCUUUAAAAAAAAAUCAAUGUUAGAUAUUUAAAUUGAUAAUUUAAAAGUGGGUAGUCUACAAUCUUCAAAACACAACAAUAAAAAUGAAAUAAAUUACUUAGUUCUAAAAAAAAUAAGAAUAAUGAAAUAACACUCUUAUCAAAUUAUCAAAGGCAUCAAUCUCAUGGAAAAAAAAAAUUCAAUACAUUCUUGUGUCACUCAAAAAGAGUAGAUAUUUAUUCAAAAUUAAUAUAGUAAUGAAACUAGAAUAGCUAUUGCCAAAGACAAAAGGUGUUAGGGACAUAUUCCUUAGAACUUUCUAGAGAGAAGUUUCUAGAACCUUCUAGAAAACAAGCCUCUGGAACCUUCUAGAAGAGAACCCUCUGGAACCUUUUAGAGAGAAGUUUCUAGAAGCUUCUAGAAAAGAAGUCUCUGGAACCUUCUAGAAGAGAAGUUUCUAGAAGCUUCUAGAAAGGAAUCCCUUGGAACUUUCUAGAAGCUUCCUAGUUAAUAGAAGUAGCUCAAGAAGUUUCUAGAACCUUCUAGAAAAGAAGCCUCUGGAACCUUCUAGAAGCUUUCUAGUUAAUAGAAGUAGCUUGAGAAGCUUCCUAAGUAGGAGUAUAUAUAGGGAUCGAGGCUGAAGAAUUCUUCAGUCUCGACAACACAUCUCUUGGAGUUCUAGCUCACCUUUCUGGUGUUGUUCUUGUACUCAUCUGUUUAAUCUAGUUUUGCUACUUCUUCUUGAACUUCUUGUUAGAUUUCAAGUCUGUAUUUUGUGUCCGUGACAGUUUGUCGAGACUACACUAACUUGAGAUAUCAGAGCUAGUUCUUUCUUAGUAGAGUGUAGAUUACCCCUCUACUUGAAGGUAUACUAGUAUUUUUUAGAGGUUGCAGAUUACCCUCCUCUAAACUGAUACUUCUUUUGUUACAAUAUUGGAGUCUUAUUCUUCUUGGAGAGAGUGGAUUACCUCUCUUCUUGAAAUUCUUAAGGCAUUUUAUAGGUUGUGGAUUACCCUCCUAUAAACCAAUAUUGCCUCUUAUAGGGUCAUUUUUGUCCUUCUUUUAGAAUGGCCGGAGGUCAAGACAUUAGUAUGACAGAAAGUUCGGAGUCUAAGUUAGAUGCUAUUAUGAAUGCCCUCGCUACAUUAUCACAAAGAACUGCAGAGAUUGAAGGAGUGGUGGCAAGGCUUCAUAAUGAUGGAGUAUCUGGGAUAGCACAAUCUAAACUACACCAGCCUCAAAUUUCGGCACUUGGAGAAACAACUUUACCUCAGGUUCGACAAGAACCACUAGUUCUACAACAUAAGGAGCCUCGAGUUAGCCUUCCAGAUAAGUUUGAUGGAACACGUUCCAAGUUUCGAGGAUUCGUCAAUCAAAUCAGGUUGAUAACAGUUUUACAGCCUGAACGAUAUCCAACGGAGGAGUCACGUGUUGGGCUUGUUGGAACCUUACUUACGGGACAAGCUCUAUCAUGGUUUGCUCCUUUGUUUGAGAAACGAUCAUCCAUAUUAAACAACUUCGAAACCUUUUUGGAAGCAUUUGCAGAAGCAUUUGGUGAAUACGAUAAGGUUCGAUGGGCUACAACAAAGAUCCGGUCGCUACGACAAGGGAUGCGUUCUACAUCAAUCUAUGCUUCGAAUUUCAGGUAAUUAGUAUGCGACAUCAAUUGGGAUGAAGAAGCGUUGAUGAGUCAAUUCUAUUGGGGUUUAAGAGAUGAUGUGAAGGAUUUGCUGUUAACUCUUCCUGAUCCACGAACGCUCAAUGAAGCCAUUAGCCAAGCUGUGAAGUGCGAUAAUCGCCUAUUCCAACGUCGCCAAGAUCAACGCUCAAGACAACAUACAAUUCGCCAUGCUCCAACUAUGUCGGCAAGCAGUGUGAAUUCGCAUUCAAAGGUGGAAGACAUGCAAAUUGAUGCGAUACAUAUCAAAUCUCUUACUAUAGAAGAAAAAAAGUGACGUAUGGAGGAAAAUUUAUGCUUGUAUUGCGGUGGAGAAGGCUACAAAGUCGAAAACUGUCUCAAAAAGCAAAAUCGAGGUAUAGUCAAGACUAGGGGAGUAUUUGUUCAGGAAAACGAGGAUGCCCAGCCACAGUAGGAACUGUGCCGUUGGACAAUGAAAUAUCCCAACAACAAUCAGGUUCCUUUCUUUCUGCCCAACCUGCACUUUGUUUUACAAUCCCUCUGUUUAUCGGCCCUCAAAAACUGAGAACCUUAGCACUACUAGACUCAGGAGCAUCUGCUUGUUUUUUAGACGAAGAAUUUGCAAAGCGUCAUAAGAUCCCUUUAGUACAAAAAUCAAAACCUAUUCAUGUUGAGGUCAUAGAUGGGCGACCUUUAUUGUCUGGUAGCAUCACCCAUGAAUCAAAACCUAUAGAAGUAACGUUUAAAGACCAUAGUAGUCAUAUUAUUUUUAAUAUUAUUAGAAUCCCAUCAAAUCCUAUUAUUCUUGGUCUUUCUUGGUUGGAAAAACAUAAUCCAUUGAUAGAUUGGAGGUUGCGGAAGAUGACUUUUCCCACAAAACCACCCAAGAAAAAACCUAGUAAAAAACCUCGAAAAAAGAAAUCCUUAGUCAUUAGAGCAAGAGCGUUUAUAAGAUCAUCUAAGGAAGGCACUCCAUUUGUCAUUUAUGCGGCUCCAACUACCGAGGAGAAGAUCUCAACAGCAAGUAUACCGGAGCAAUAUAAAGAUUUUGAAGACGUGUUUCAAAAGAAGAACGGCGACAUACUACCGGAACACCGACCAUAUGAUUGUGCCAUAGACUUGCAAGAAGGAGCACAACCACCUUUUGGCCCAAUCUACAAUCUAUCGCAAACGGAGUUGGCAGAGUUACGAAAGUACAUUGACGAAAAUCUAGCCAAGAACUUCAUUCGUCAUUCAAAAUCAUCAGCUGGAGCAUCCAUCUUAUUUGUGAAGAAGAAAGAUGGAUCAUUACGGAUGUGUAUGGACUAUCGAGGCCUCAACAAGGUAACAAAGAAAAAUUGUUAUCCAUUACCCUUGAUUUCUAGUCUCUUAGAACAACUUGGACGUGCGAAGAUCUUUACAAAAAUUGAUCUAAGGGGAGCUUAUAAUCUCAUACGAAUCAAGGAAGGAGAUGAGUGGAAGACAGCAUUCCGUACAAGGUAUGGUCAUUUCGAAUAUAAUGUCAUGCCUUUUGGUCUUACCAAUGCUCCAGCGGUUUUCCAACAUAUGAUGAAUGACAUCUUUCGAGAACACCUCGACGAUUUUGUUGUCAUCUACUUGGACGAUAUUCUAAUAUUCUCUAAAAACGAGGAAGAGUAUGAGGAGCAUGUUCGUUUGGUCUUGGAGAAACUACGCAAGCGAGGACUAUAUGCCAAAUUAGAAAAGUGUUUAUUUUACUAGACAGAGAUGGAAUUUUUGGGGUUCAUUGCGACUACAGAAGGUUUGAAGAUGGACCCCAAGAAAGUAGAAGCAAUCAUGUCUUGGGAGGUUCCGAAGACGGUUAGAGACGUACAAUGCUUUCUUGGUUUUGCUAACUUCUAUCAGAUCUUCAUCAAGAAUUAUUCUCAAGUUGCUGCUCCUCUCACUCGAUUAACAUGCAAGGAUAAGUUGGAAUGGGGACCUUUGGCGGAGAAGGCGUUUCAAGAUUUGAAGACAGCAUUUACUACAGCUCCAAUUUUGGUACAUCCAGACUUUACAAAUGCCUUCUAUUUAGAAACUGAUGCUUCAGAUUUUGCUUUGGGAGCUGUGCUUUCACAAAUGAGUGAAGAUAAGAAGCUCCAUCCAGUUGCAUUCUAUUCUCGGAAGUUCUCUGCUGCUGAAAUCAAUUAUGAGAUCCACGAUAAGGAACUUCUUGCUAUAGUGGAUUCUUUCGAAGAAUGGCGUCACUUUCUUGAUGGAGCUGUACAUCCAGCAACCGUAUAUACGGAUCACAAGAAUUUGGAGUAUUUCAUGACGGCUCGAGUUUUAAAUCGGUGUCAAGCUCGGUGGAAUAUGUCGCUAUCUAGAUUCGAUUUUGUUAUCACUUAUUGACCUGGAAGGUAGCAAGGACUAUCCGAUGCUUUAUCAAGGAGAUCGUAUCUUGCACCAAAGGCUGGAGAAGCAGCGUUUGAUCAACAAUGUACAACGUUAUUGAAGCCAGAGAGAUUUCAACUUUGUGCUACUAUUAUAUCAUUUGAUGCUGACUUCUUAAACUAGGUACGUGCUAUGACCAUUAAAGAUUCAGUAGCCAUUGAUAUCAAGCAACGUACCAAUGACGAUAAGUUGAAGGUGGAAGGAGAUCUUUUAUACUUUGAAGAGCAAUUGUACAUUCCAAAAGGACUAGCACGACUCCGAGUUCUUCAAUCUCGCCAUGAUUUUCCAGCUGCGGGAUAUUUUGGAUUCAACAAGACCUUGGAGCUUAUUUCUCGAGAUUUUUGGUGGCCCCAAAUGUGGAAGGAUGUGAAAGAUUUUGUCCUCUCUUGUGACAUCUGUCAAGAUCUAAGAAUCCUCGGCAUCGCCCUUAUGGACUUCUACAGCCAUUGCCAAUUCGAUGUCGACCAUGGUCUUCAAUUUCUAUGGACUUCAUCACGGACUUGCCAUCAUCAAACUCAUUUGACAGCAUCUUUGUCGUGGUAGAUCGGCUUACGAAGAUGGCACACUUUGUUCCUUGUAAGAAGACAUCGUCCAGUGAAGUCACAGUAAGACUCUUUCUCGAUAAUGUGUAUCGAUAUCAUGAACUACCAGAUGAUAUCAUAUCAGAUCGAGGUACCCAGUUCGUGUCAAAGUUUUGGAGAUCUCUCUUUGGAAUAUUGAAGGUGGAUAUCAAGCUUUCUUCAGCUUUUCAUUCUCAAACUGAUGGCCAAACGGAACGGGUGAACCAAAUCUUGGAGCAGUACUUACGAUGCAGCAUCAACUAUUAACAAGACGAUUGGACUACAUAUCUAUCGCUAGCCGAGUUUGCAUAUAACAACACCCUCCAUGCGUCGACUCAACAAACACCAUUCUUUUUCAACUAUGGGUAUCAUCCGAAGCUUGAUUUAUUGAGUUCGUCAACAAAUAACAAUCCAGCAGCUGAAGGAUUUGCGAAGCAACUAUCAGAGCUUCAAACUAUGUUGAAGCUUCAAUUACAAUCCGCUCAAGAAUCCUAUGAGACGUCUGCAGAUAGAUUUUGGAAUCCAGCACCUACUUUCAAAGUUGGAGACAAAGUCUGGCUUCUUCGACGAAAUAUCAAGACCAAGCGACCAUGUGAUAAGUUGGACUAUCGAAGAUUGGGACCAUUUAUCAUCCAGAAGCAAAUUAAUCCAGUGGCAUACCGGUUGGAGUUACCGGCUUCUAUGAAGGUACAUCCAGUCUUUCAUGUUUCUCUGUUGGAACCUCAUCGAGAGUCAUCUUUUCCUGGAAGAGUGCAAUGUCUGCCACCUAGUAUUGAAAUCGAGAACCACGAAGAAUACGAGGUUGAAAAGGUAUUGGAUUCACGGCGAAGGUGGGGAAAGUUAGAAUAUCUUGUUCAUUGGUGUGGCUAUGACAUUAAUGAGCGAACGUGGGAGCCAGCUGAAAAUCUUGCGAAUGUGCCACAAAAGGUACAGGAGUUUCAUCAACGACAUCCCGAUAAACCUAAAUCAAUUCGAUGAUAGCUUCUUUCUGAAGCUUGUUCUCCCAACAAUAUAAGAAAAGGGGAGAGCACCAGCAAAAUUCAUAGUUGAUGUAGUUAUUUUCUCCAAGAUAGAUCGUAGUUUGGUGUUUUGAUAUGGAUAGCCAAGAGAUAGAUACUAUGCCAGUCAGAGUAUUGCAACCGAGUAGCUCACGAAGGCGACCCCGAGAUGAAGAACUACAUGUACCACGAUGACAACGGAGGGUACCGAGUAACCGAUCAUUGGUGAUUGUAUUUGAGAUCGAGCCUGCUUACGAUGGUCAACCAGAAGGCGUGUUUGCAGGACAAUUUCACAAUGAGGACACGGAAGUUCAUGCUUGGUCAGAAGUCGAAGGCGUGGACCACUACCGUUGGCUUCAAGGGUCGAUAAACCACUUGCCUCGUGAACAACAGUUGGAGUUCAUAGCAGAAGUUAUGCGACAGAUCUUCAUUUUCUUGCGUUGGUACUGAUCAACAACAUUGCUUCUCAGAGACCUCGAAGCUAAAAGAGGGGGUGAUGUUAGGGACAUAUUCCUUAGAACUUUCUAGAGAGAAGUUUCUAGAACCUUCUAGAGAACAAGCCUUAAGAACCUUCUAGAAGAGAAGCCUCUGGAACCUUUUAGAGAGAAGUUUCUAGAAGCUUCUAGAAAGGAAGUCUCUGGAACCUUCUAGAAGUGAAGUUUCUAGAAGCUUCUAGAAAGGAAUCCCCUGGAACUUUCUAGAAGCUUCGUAGUUAAUACAAGUAGCUCAAGAAGUUUCUAGAACCUUCUAGAAAGAAAGCCUCUAGAACCUUCUAGAAGCUUUCUAGUUAAUAGAAGUAGCUCGAGAAGCUUCCUAAGUAGGAGUAUAUAUAGGGAUCGAGGCUGAAGAGUUCUUCAGUCUCGACAACACAUCUCUUGGAGUUCUACCUCACCUUUCUGGUGUUGUUCUUGUACUCAUCUGUUUAAUCUAGUUUUGCCACUUCUUCUUGAACUUCUUGUUAGAUUUCAAGUCUGUAUUUUGUGUCCGUGACAAUAGGACUUCUAUUACAUGUCCAACUUAUAAGAUAUAUGUCUAAUUUGUAAGACAAGUUUUUUAGGUGUGUGCCAUAUGUUCAACUUGUAUUACAAGUGGUCAACUUGUCGACAUGUGGCCUCUUUGUUGGCCAAGUUUUCAACCUAUCAACCACCUGUAGACAUAUAUAAAAGCAAAAAAAUGUCUAUGAAGCUUCUAGGAAGCUUUCUAUAUGAUAUUAUCAUAUUUAUUUACUUUGACUUAUUUCUAUCUAUUUUUAUUAUCUAGAUAAUUAUCAAGAUAAAUAUAUUUGUCCAUGAUAAUUGCAUAGGACUUUAUAAUAUCUUAAAUUUUUUUUAAUUUUUGUUAUAGAGAUACAUAUUUACUUAGAUAAGAAGUGCUAGGUAGAAAAUAAAUGUAAGUAGAUUUAAUAUUAUCUUGUAGCGAAGCUUUUGAAAAGUUUCAUAAAUACAUAUUUGACUUCAUACAUAUUUAUAAUUGAUUGGUAGGUAUCAAAGAUAUGAAUCUUAGAAAACUAAAAGUUCAAUACAUUCUUAUGCUACUCAAAAAGACUAAAGAAUCACUCAAAUAUGGUAUAAUAUAAAACUAAAAUGCCUAUUGCCAAAGAGAAGAAAACUAAAAAGUAUUGAAAUAAAAGUAAGAACUAAAAAGGUGAUGAUAAAAGUGAAGAAGGCAUCACUUUUGCCUCCAUAUAUACUAUUCAACUAGGAGCUAUAUGGCGAUGUCUUAUAUGACCUCAAACACAUGUCUAAUUUGUAAGACAUGUGUCUUAACUUGCAAAAUAAAUUUUUUAUAUUCAUGCCACAUCAUUAGCUUUUUUCAUAAUCUAUUUACAUGUAUGAUACAUGGCUAACUUGUUGGCCAAGUUUCUAACCUAUUAAUCAAGAAUAAACAUGUAUGAAGUCAAAUAUGUAUCUAUAAAGUUUUUAAGAAGCUUUGUUACAAGAUAUUAUGAAAUACAUUUAUAUUUACUUUCUACCUUGCACUUCUUGUUUAAGUAUAUAUAUAUAUAUAUAUGACAGUAGGUUAGAAACUUGGCCAAUAAAUUAACUACAUGUUGUGUACCUUUGUAGCUUGUAAUAUAAGCUAACAAUAUGGUACACAUAUAAAAAACUUGUCUUAUAAGUUAAGACAUGUGUUUUACAAAUUAAACACGUGUUGAUAAUCCUAUAGAACAUUGUCACAUAGCUUCUAAUUAGGUAGCAUAUAUAAAGACAAUAGUCAAGUUUUCUUCACUCUUGUCAAUACCUUUCUAUUUCUAAGUCUUAUUUUAAGACUUUUUAAUCCUUUUUUCACGGACACAAAAUACAUACUUGAAAUCUAACAAGAAGAACAACACCAGAAAGGUGAGGUAGAACUCCAAGAGAUGUGUUGUCGAGACUGAAGAACUCUUCAGCCUCGAUCCCUAUAUAUACUCCUACUUAGGAAGCUUCUCGAGCUACUUCUAUUAACUAGAAAGCUUCUAGAAGGUUCUAGAGGCUUUCUUUCUAGAAGGUUCUAGAAACUUCUUGAGCUACUUGUAUUAACUACGAAGCUUCUAGAAAGUUCCAGGGGAUUCCUUUCUAGAAGCUUCUAGAAACUUCACUUCUAGAAGGUUCCAGAGACUUCCUUUCUAGAAGCUUCUAGAAACUUCUCUCUAAAAGGUUCCAGAGGCUUCUCUUCUAGAAGGUUCUUAAGGCUUGUUCUCUAGAAGGUUCUAGAAACUUCUCUCUAGAAAGUUCUAAGGAAUAUGUCCCUAACAUCACCCCCUCUUUUAGCUUCGAGGUCUCUGAGAAGCAAUGUUGUUGAUCAGUACCAACGCAAGAAAAUGAAGAUCUGUCGCAUAACUUCUGCUAUGAACUCCAACUGUUGUUCACGAGGCAAGUGGUUUAUCGACCCUUGAAGCCAACGGUAGUGGUCCACGCCUUCGACUUCUGACCAAGCAUGAACUUCCGUGUCCUCAUUGUGAAAUUGUCCUGCAAACACGCCUUCUGGUUGACCAUCGUAAGCAGGCUCGAUCUCAAAUACAAUCACCAAUGAUCGGUUACUCGGUACCCUCCGUUGUCAUCGUGGUACAUGUAGUUCUUCAUCUCGGGGUCGCCUUCGUGAGCUACUCGGUUGCAAUACUCUGACUGGCAUAGUAUCUAUCUCUUGGCUAUCCAUAUCAAAACACCAAACUACGAUCUAUCUUGGAGAAAAUAACUACAUCAACUAUGAAUUUUGCUGGUGCUCUCCCCUUUUCUUAUAUUGUUGGGAGAACAAGCUUCAGAAAGAAGCUAUCAUCGAAUUGAUUUAGGUUUAUCGGGAUGUCGUUGAUGAAACUCCUGUACCUUUUGUGGCACAUUCGCAAGAUUUUCAGCUGGCUCCCACGUUCGCUCAUUAAUGUCAUAGCCACACCAAUGAACAAGAUAUUCUAACUUUCCCCACCUUCGCCGUGAAUCCAAUACCUUUUCAACCUCGUAUUCUUCGUGGUUCUCGAUUUCAAUACUAGGUGGCAGACAUUGCACUCUUCCAGGAAAAGAUGACUCUCGAUGAGGUUCCAAUAGAGAAACAUGAAAGACUGGAUGUACCUUCAUAGAAGCCGGUAACUCCAACCGGUAUGCCACUGGAUUAAUUUGCUUCUGGAUGAUAAAUGGUCCCAAUCUUCGAUAGUCCAACUUAUCACAUGGUCGCUUGGUCUUGAUAUUUCGUCGAAGAAGCCAGACUUUGUCUCCAACUUUGAAAGUAGGUGCUGGAUUCCAAAAUCUAUCUGCAGACGUCUCAUAGGAUUCUUGAGCGGAUUGUAAUUGAAGCUUCAACAUAGUUUGAAGCUCUGAUAGUUGCUUCGCAAAUCCUUCAGCUGCUGGAUUGUUAUUUGUUGACGAACUCAAUAAAUCAAGCUUCGGAUGAUACCCAUAGUUGAAAAAGAAUGGUGUUUGUUGAGUCGACGCAUGGAGGGUGUUGUUAUAUGCAAACUCGGCUAGCGAUAGAUAUGUAGUCCAAUCGUCUUGUUAAUAGUUGAUGCUGCAUCGUAAGUACUGCUCCAAGAUUUGGUUCACCCGUUCCGUUUGGCCAUCAGUUUGAGAAUGAAAAGCUGAAGAAAGCUUGAUAUCCACCUUCAAUAUUCCAAAGAGAGAUCUCCAAAACUUUGACACGAACUGGGUACCUCGAUCUGAUAUGAUAUCAUCUGGUAGUUCAUGAUAUCGAUACACAUUAUCGAGAAAGAGUCUUACUGUGACUUCACUGGACGAUGUCUUCUUACAAGGAACAAAGUGUGCCAUCUUCGUAAGCCGAUCUACCACGACAAAGAUGCUGUCAAAUGAGUUUGAUGAUGGCAAGUCCGUGAUGAAGUCCAUAGAAAUUGAAGACCAUGGUCGACAUCGAAUUGGCAAUGGCUGUAGAAGUCCAUAAGGGCGAUGCCGAGGAUUCUUAGAUCUUGACAGAUGUCACAAGAGAGGACAAAAUCUUUCACAUCCUUCCACAUUUGGGGCCACCAAAAAUCUCGAGAAAUAAGCUCCAAGGUCUUGUUGAAUCCAAAAUAUCCCGCAGCUGGAAAAUCAUGGCGAGAUUGAAGAACUCGGAGUCGUGCUAGUCCUUUUGGAAUGUACAAUUGCUCUUCAAAGUAUAAAAGAUCUCCUUCCACCUUCAACUUAUCGUCAUUGGUACGUUGCUUGAUAUCAAUGGCUACUGAAUCUUUAAUGGUCAUAGCACGUACCUAGUUUAAGAAGUCAGCAUCAAAUGAUAUAAUAGUAGCACAAAGUUGAAAUCUCUCUGGCUUCAAUAACGUUGUACAUUGUUGAUCAAACGCUGCUUCUCCAGCCUUUGGUGCAAGAUACGAUCUCCUUGAUAAAGCAUCGGAUAGUCCUUGCUACCUUCCAGGUCAAUAAGUGAUAACAAAAUCGAAUCUAGAUAGCGACAUAUUCCACCGAGCUUGACGCCGAUUUAAAACUCGAGCCGUCAUGAAAUACUCCAAAUUCUUGUGAUCCGUAUAUACGGUUACUGGAUGUGCAGCUCCAUCAAGAAAGUGACGCCAUUCUUCGAAAGAAUCCACUAUAGCAAGAAGUUCCUUAUCGUGGAUCUCAUAAUUGAUUUCAGCAGCAGAGAACUUCCGAGAAUAGAAUGCAACUGGAUGGAGCUUCUUAUCUUCACUCAUUUGUGAAAGCACAGCUCCCAAAGCAAAAUCUGAAGCAUCAGUUUCUAAAUAGAAGGCAUUUGUAAAGUCUGGAUGUACCAAAAUUGGAGCUGUAGUAAAUGCUGUCUUCAAAUCUUGAAACGCCUUCUCCGCCAAAGGUCCCCAUUCCAACUUAUCCUUGCAUGUUAAUCGAGUGAGAGGAGCAGCAACUUGAGAAUAAUUCUUGAUGAAGAUCUGAUAGAAGUUAGCAAAACCAAGAAAGCAUUGUACGUCUCUAACCGUCUUCGGAACCUCUCAAGACAUGAUUGCUUCUACUUUCUUGGGGUCCAUCUUCAAACCUUCUGUAGUCGCAAUGAACCCCAAAAAUUCCAUCUCUGUCUAGUAAAAUAAACACUUUUCUAAUUUGGCAUAUAGUCCUCGCUUGCGUAGUUUCUCCAAGACCAAACGAACAUGCUCCUCAUACUCUUCCUCGUUUUUAGAGAAUAUUAGAAUAUCGUCCAAGUAGAUGACAACAAAAUCGUCGAGGUGUUCUCGAAAGAUGUCAUUCAUCAUAUGUUGGAAAACCGCUGGAGCAUUGGUAAGACCAAAAGGCAUGACAUUAUAUUCGAAAUGACCAUACCUUGUACGGAAUGCUGUCUUCCACUCAUCUCCUUCCUUGAUUCGUACGAGAUUAUAAGCUCCCCUUAGAUCAAUUUUUGUAAAGAUCUUCGCACGUCCAAGUUGUUCUAAGAGACUAGAAAUCAAGGGUAAUGGAUAACAAUUUUUCUUUGUUACCUUGUUGAGGCCUCGAUAGUCCAUACACAUCCGUAAUGAUCCAUCUUUCUUCUUCACAAAUAAGAUGGAUGCUCCAGCUGAUGAUUUUGAAUGACGAAUGAAGUUCUUGGCUAGAUUUUCGUCAAUGUACUUUCGUAACUCUGCCAACUCCGUUUGCGAUAGAUUGUAGAUUGGGCCAAAAGGUGGUUGUGCUCCUUCUUGCAAGUCUAUGGCACAAUCAUAUGGUCGGUGUUCCGGUAGUAUGUCGCCGUUCUUCUUUUGAAACACGUCUUCAAAAUCUUUAUAUUGCUCCGGUAUACUUGCUGUUGAGAUCUUCUCCUCGGUAGUUGGAGCCGCAUAAAUGACAAAUGGAGUGCCUUCCUUAGAUGAUCUUAUAAACGCUCUUGCUCUAAUGACUAAGGAUUUCUUUUUUCGAGGUUUUUUACUAGGUUUUUUCUUGGGUGGUUUUGUGGGAAAAGUCAUCUUCCGCAACCUCCAAUCUAUCAAUGGAUUAUGUUUUUCCAACCAAGAAAGACCAAGAAUAAUAGGAUUUGAUGGGAUUCUAAUAAUAUUAAAAAUAAUAUGACUACUAUGGUCUUUAAACGUUACUUCUAUAGGUUUUGAUUCAUGGGUGAUGCUACCAGACAAUAAAGGUCGCCCAUCUAUGACCUCAACAUGAAUAGGUUUUGAUUUUUGUACUAAAGGGAUCUUAUGACGCUUUGCAAAUUCUUCGUCUAAAAAACAAGCAGAUGCUCCUGAGUCUAGUAGUGCUAAGGUUCUCAGUUUUUGAGGGCCGAUAAACAGAGGGAUUGUAAAACAAAGUGCAGGUUGGGCAGAAAGAAAGGAACCUGAUUGUUGUUGGGAUAUUUCAUUGUCCAACGGCACAGUUCCUACUGUGGCUGGGCAUCCUCGUUUUCCUGAACAAAUACUCCCCUAGUCUUGACUAUACCUCGAUUUUGCUUUUUGAGACAGUUUUCGACUUUGUAGCCUUCUCCACCGCAAUACAAGCAUAAAUUUUCCUCCAUACGUCACUUUUUUUCUUCUAUAGUAAGAGAUUUGAUAUGUAUCGCAUCAAUUUGCAUGUCUUCCACCUUUGAAUGCGAAUUCACACUGCUUGCCGACAUAGUUGGAGCAUGGCGAAUUGUAUGUUGUCUUGAGCGUUGAUCUUGGCGACGUUGGAAUAGGCGAUUAUCGCACUUCACAGCUUGGCUAAUGGCUUCAUUGAGCGUUCGUGGAUCAGGAAGAGUUAACAGCAAAUCCUUCACAUCAUCUCUUAAACCCCAAUAGAAUUGACUCAUCAACGCUUCUUCAUCCCAAUUGAUGUCGCAUACUAAUUACCUGAAAUUCGAAGCAUAGAUUGAUGUAGAACGCAUCCCUUGUCGUAGCGACCGGAUCUUUGUUGUAGCCCAUCGAACCUUAUCGUAUUCACCAAAUGCUUCUGCAAAUGCUUCCAAAAAGGUUUCGAAGUUGUUUAAUAUGGAUGAUCGUUUCUCAAACAAAGGAGCAAACCAUGAUAGAGCUUGUCCCGUAAGUAAGGUUCCAACAAGCCCAACACGUGACUCCUCCGUUGGAUAUCGUUCAGGCUGUAAAACUGUUAUCAACCUGAUUUGAUUGACGAAUCCUCGAAACUUGGAACGUGUUCCAUCAAACUUAUCUGGAAGGCUAACUCGAGGCUCCUUAUGUUGUAGAACUAGUGGUUCUUGUCGAACCUGAGGUAAAGUUGUUUCUCCAAGUGCCGAAAUUUGAGGCUGGUGUAGUUUAGAUUGUGCUAUCCCAGAUACUCCAUCAUUAUGAAGCCUUGCCACCACUCCUUCAAUCUCUGCAGUUCUUUGUGAUAAUGUAGCGAGGGCAUUCAUAAUAGCAUCUAACUUAGACUCCGAACUUUCUGUCAUACUAAUGUCUUGACCUCCGGCCAUUCUAAAAGAAGGACAAAAAUGACCCUAUAAGAGGCAAUAUUGGUUUAUAGGAGGGUAAUCCACAACCUAUAAAAUGCCUUAAGAAUUUCAAGAAGAGAUGUAAUCCACUCUCUCCAAGAAGAAUAAGACUCCAAUAUUAUAACAAAAGAAGUAUCAGUUUAGAGGAGGGUAAUCUGCAACCUCUAAAAAAUACUAGUAUACCUUCAAGUAGAGGGGUAAUCUACACUCUACUAAGAAAGAACUAGCUCUGAUAUCUCAAGUUAGUGUAGUCUCGACAAACUAUCAUGGACACAAAAUAUAGACUUGAAAUCUAACAAGAAGUUCAAGAAGAAGUAGCAAAACUAGAUUAAACAGAUGAGUACAAGAACAACACCAGAAAGGUGAGCUAGAACUCCAAGAGAUGUGUUGUCGAGACUGAAGAACUCUUCAGCCUCGAUCCCUAUAUAUACUCCUACUUAGGAAGCUUCUCGAGCUACUUCUAUUAACUAGAAAGCUUCUAGAAGGUUCAAGAGGCUUCCUUUCUAGAAGGUUCUAGAAACUUCUUGAGCUACUUCUAUUAACUAGGAAGCUUUUAGAAAGUUCCAGGGGAUUCCUUUCUAGAAGCUUCUAGAAACUUCUCUUCUAGAAGGUUCCAGAGACUUCCUUUCUAGAAGCUUCUAGAAACUUCUCUCUAAAAGGUUCCAGAGGGUUCUCUUCUAGAAGGUUCCAGAGGCUUGUUUUCUAGAAGGUUCUAGAAACUUCUCUCUAGAAAGUUCUAAGGAAUAUGUCCCUAACACCUAUAGGAUGUCACCACGUAUUUCUUAGUUAAGUAAUAUAUAUAGAGGUAAGAGUGACACCUUCCUCACUCUUGUCAUCUCCUUUCUUGCUUUUAGUCUAGUUUCAAGAGUCUUAUGUUUUUUAGUCUUUGGCAAUAGUCAUUCCAGUUCUUCUUUGAAUAUACAUACUUUCUUCUAUUUUUUUACUUUCUUUUUGACACAAAUUCUACAAGUUUAUGCAUCUUCUUUCAAUUUUUGUCCUUGAUAGAUUAACAAGAAUAUGCAUACAAUAUCACAAAUUUUUCUUUUUUUGAUUAAGAGUGGAUUAUCUCUUUUUUUUAUAAGACAUAAGUGUAUUAGAAGUUGUGGAUUAUUUUCUUCUAAACUGAUAUUAUUUUUAGAAAUUUUUUUUUCUUCAUUCUUGAGUAUUGUAUUUUGUAAAAAUAAACGCCUUUCUUUUUAUUGUGCUUGCAUGGUAGAGCUUCCUGAAAUGAAGAGUGCAAUGGCUCAAAUGUAUGAACAAAUGAGAGAGUUAAUACUUACAAUGUACCAACUCAGUCUACGACCACAAGCAGCAACAAGAUUAUCAAGCAAUGAAGAUAUAGAGAUAAUUGAAAUUGCUUCAACUUCUACACCAAGCCAUAUUAUUACUCUACAAUAGAACAUCGUUCAAGUUUCAAGGAAGUAAAAAUUAGAUUGCUUAAUAAGUUUGAUGGCACAAGAUCUAAGUUUUAAGGAUUCAUCAAUCAGGUACAAUUGGUAAUUGAACUACAAUCUCAAAGUUAUCCAACUCAAAGAUCACAAGUCGAGUUUAUUAGAAUACUACUUUCACAUUCUACUUUAUUAUGGUUUUCAUCAUUUCUUGAAUGAUGUGAUUCAAUAUUAGAUAAUUUGAAAGCAUUCUUCAUAGAGUUUUGAUCUAUGUAUGGAGAUAAUAAUACAAAUCAUGUUGUAACAAACAAGAUUUGUAUCUUGUGACAAGACAAUCAAUCAGUGACAUUAUAUGCUUCACAAUUUUGACAAUUAGCAACAAAUAUCAAGUGGGAUGAUACAACACUCAUCAGCCAGUUUCUCUACGGAUAAUAAUAUGAAGUAAAAAAAUUGAUGCUUAAUUUAAUUGAUCCUCAGACAUUAAGUCAAGCAAUUGACUUUGUUAUAAAUAUUACAAUCGACUUUUUAAAUUUUAAUCUCAAAAUUAUACAAAGAAACCUUAACAUUAUUAUAAUUCAAUGACAACACCAACUACUUUUCAAUCUAAACAUUUAGAAGUAGAAGACAUGCAAAUUGAUGAAGUACAUUUUAAACUUCUUACCAAAUAAGAAAAGAUUUGUUAUCAUCAAGAAAGACUGAUUAUAUUAUGGAGAAGCUAAGGACACUACUUAAUAUUGCCCAAAGAAAUGAUACAACUAUAAAAUGAGGAGUACUAUUGUCAAAGAUGAAAACAUGUUAGAAAAUAAAUUUAUUUAGCUACAAUAAGGAUCGUGCAGCUAGAAUCUUAUACAAUUUUUAAUAAAAGAGCUCCUAUCUUAUUUGUGAAGAAAAAAGAUAGAUCAUUGCAAAUGUGUGUGGAUUAUUGAGGAGUCAACAAGAUUACCAUCAAGAAUAAAUAUCCUCUGCUUUUAAUAUCUAGACUUCUUGAUCAAUUAAAUCAAAUUAAGAUUUAUACAAAAAUAGGUCUAUAAAGAGCAUACAAUCUGGUCCACAUUAAAGAAGGAAAUAAAUGGAAGACUGCAUUUUGAAUAAGGUAUGGACACUUUGAAUAUAAUGUCAUACCUUUUGGACUCACAAAUGCACCAACUCCUUUUCAAUAUCUUGUAAAUGAUGUUUUUCAUGAGUUUCUAGAUGAUUUGUUGUCUGUUAUUUAGAUGAUAUUUUAAUCUACUCUAAGAAUGCAAAAGAACAUGAAGUUCAUGUUCAUCGUGUAUUACUAAAACUUAGAGAUACAAGAUUGUAUGCCAAGAUGGAAAAGUGUAUAUUUUACACUAUUUAAGUUGAUUUCUUAGGAUACAUCAUUUCAAACAAUGGUCUAAUGAUGGAUCCUAAAAAAAUUCACACAAUCAUGGACUGGAAGAUUCCAAAAAUAGUAAGAGAUGUAUAAUACUUUUUUGAGAUUUGUCAAUUACUAUUAGAUCUUCAUCAAGAAUUUUUCUCAAGUUGGAGUGCUACUUACAAGCUUAACUUGUAAAGACAAGCUAAAGUGGAAUAAAGAAGCAGAAGCAUCAUUUCAAGCUUUAAAGAAAGCUUUUACUUCUGUACCAAUCCUGUAUUGCAUCAAUUUUUUUAAAGUAUUUUUUAUGGAGACAAAUGUAUUUGACUUUGCCUUGGAUAUAGUCUUGUCACAAGUAGAAGCAGAUAACAAAUUUCAUCCUGUAGCUUUUCAUUCAAGAAAAAUUUUAGCAGCUAAGAUUAAUUAUGAGAUCCAUGAUAAGAAACUUCUUACAAUUAUAGACUCUUUUCAAGAAUGGCAUCAUUAUUUAGAAGGUACUUCAAGUCAUGUUAUCAUAUAUAUGAAUCACAAGAAUCUCGAAUAUUUCAUAUCAGCACAUGUUUUGAAUCAUCGCUAGGCUCGUUGGAGCAUGUCUUUAUCAAGUUUCGAGUUUAAUAUCACUUAUUGGCUGAAAAAACAACAAGGUUUGUUUAAUACCUUUUCUAGACGUUCUUAUCUUACAUCAAAAGAAGGAAAAGUAACUUUUGAUCAACAAAAGAUAAUUUUAUUAAAGCCAAAAUAAUUUCAUCUCCAAGCAAUGAAAUCAACAUUGAUUAUUGAUUUGACUUUUCUCAAGCAAAUCCAAGCAAGUAUGUCCUUAGACCUUCUUAUUCAUGAUAUUAAAAAUAAUUCCUCUAAGUCUUAAGAUACUUCCAAGUUUGAGUUUAAAAAAGACCUAUUCUAUUUCAAAGGAUGCUUAUAUAUUCCAGAAGGAGAAGCGCAAUUACAUACUCUUGAAGCUCAUCACAAUUUCUCUGUAGCAAGAUAUUUUGGAUAUAAUUAGACUUUGAAGCUUAUAUCUAGAGAUUUUUUGUAGCCUCAAAUAUGGAAGGUUAUUAAAGAAUUUGUGAAGACAUGUCAUAUUUGUACAAGAUCAAAAACUCUUCAUGAUCAAUCUUAUGGAUUCCUCCAACCAUUAUCUAUACUAGAAUAAUUAUGGUCUUCUGUCUCUAUAGAUUUUAUUAUGGAUCUUCCAAUUUCAAGUUCAUAUGAUUCCAUAUUUAUGAUUGUAGAUCAUUUCACCAAGAUGGCACAUUUUGUACCAUGUACAAAAUCUAUCAUAGGUGAAGGAAUAGCUAAAUUCUUCCUUGACAAUAUCUAUUGCUAUCAUGGGUUACUAAGGGAUAUUAUAUCAAACAGAGGAACACUAUUUUUAUUGAGAUUUUGGAGAACUCUUUUUAAGAUAUUGAAGGUGGAUAUAAAACUAUCUUUGGCUUUCCGCCCUCAAACUGAUGGAUAAAUAGAAUAGAUAAAUCAAGUUUUAAAGCAAUAUUUGAUGUGUAUCAUCAACUAUAAACAAGAUGAUUGAACAACUCUUUUGCCAGUGGCAGAGUUUGCUUACAAUAAUUUGGUACAUUCUUCUACUCAAUAAACACCUUUUUUUGUCAAUUAUAGUUAUCAUCUACAAUUUGAUACUUUUGACUUUUCAAAAGUUGAUAAUCCUAUAGUAGAAGAUGUAGCAAAUUGAUUGUCAGAGCUACAUGCAAUAAUAAAGGCACAAUUAAAUGAAGCUCAAGAACGACAAAAAGCCAAUGUAGAUGUCUAUUGCAAGGAACAACCUCAAUUCUAUGUGGAGAAUAAGGUAUGGUUACUUAGUUGCAAUAUUUAAACUAUUUGUCCUUGUGACAAGCUGGAUUAUUGUAGGCUUCAACCAUUUUUCAUUGGUAAAUAGAACAAUCCAAUUGCUUAUUGAUUACACCUAUUGAAGUCUAUAAAAAUCCAUCAUGUAUUCCAUGUAUCUUUACUUGAGCUAUACAAGACAAUGGAUAUACAAGGAAGGAGACAAAUGCCACCACCUCUUAUAGAAAUGGACAAUAAUGAAGAAUUUAGACUAGAAGAAGUCUUAGAUUCAAGGUGGCAUCAAAAUAGGUUAGAAUAUCGGAUAUAUUGGCGUGGAUAUGGCAUUAAUGAAUUCACAUGGAAGCCAUCUAAGAACCUAGCAAAUGCAUCAACCAAAGUUAAAACUUUUCAUCAAUGACAUCCAUCAAAACCAAGAUGAAGAGUCAAAAAAAAUUUUGCUAUAAAAUAAAGCAAGCCCAAUGGAGAUUUCAUUCUAUCUUCUAUCAUUGUUUCUUUGAAUUUUUUAGUAUUUAGGAGAUGGAGGAGCAACAACCAGCAGAUUCAACUCAAGAGCUAUCAUUUACUAAGCUACUAGACAAGACAUUACAACUAUCACAACCUUUGAGAUGGCAAAAUCGAGAUGAAGAGUCUCAAGAAUGGCAUGUUCUUCUUCGAAUAGAUGGCAAGAUAUAAUGCAUUUGGUACCACAACCUUAGAAGGAACUCUUGAUGUUUAGUGAUACUUUUGGAGGUAGGAACUAUUGCUGAUGGUAUUAUUAAUGUUUUGUUUGAAGGAAGUUAUGAAGACCUCAAUAAUGAUCAAAUAUCAAGGUGGUCUUCUCGCCUUAGUAUGGGAUAUUAUUGAUGGUUGAAGGCACCUAUCAACUACCUUCAAAGGGAACAAAGAUCAGUGUACGUGGCAAAUAUAGUUUGGUGCAUUUUGAACUUCAUCAAUAUAUAAUCAUAGCUCCUCAUGGAACUCGUCCUUAGAAAGGGGAAUAAUGUCACGGACAUACAUAUUUAUCUUGAUAAUUAUCUAGAUAAUAAAAAUAGGUAGAAGUAAGUCAAAGUAGAUAAAUAUGAUAAUAUCUUGUAGAAAGCUUCCUAAAAGCUUUAUAGAUGUUGCUUUGCCUUUAUACAUGUCUAUAGGUGAUUGAUAGGUUAAAAACUUGGCCAACAAGGACACCACAUGUCGACAUAUUGACCACUUAUAAUACAAGCAAGACAUAUGGCAAACCUAGGAAACUUAUCUUGCAAAUUAGACAUGUGUCUUGCAAGUUGGACGUGUAUUAGACGUCUUAUAGCAUGUCACUACAUAUUUCUUAGUUAAGUAGUAUAUAUAGAAGCAAGGAUAAGGCCUUCUUCACUCUUGUCAACUCCUUUCUUGUUUUUAGUCUAGUUUCAAGAGUCUUAUGUUUUCUAGUCUUUGGCAAUAGUCAUUCCAGUUCUUCCUUGAAUAUACAUACUUUCUUCUAUUUUGUCACUUUCUUUUUCACACAAAUUCGACGAGUUUAUGCAUCUUCUUCUAGUUUUUGUCCUUGACAACAAUAUGGAAGUAAAAUAGAAAUAGUUAUAUGAAUUCAAAUGUUAAGUGUAUCAAUUUAAUAUUUUUUUUAAUUUUUACUUUAUCAAUAAAUAUAUGUGUAUAGAAGGAAUAUGUAAAUAUUUUGAAUUGUCUUAUUUAAUAGAUCAUAUAAUCAAAUUUCAAUAAAAUAAAUAAUAUUAUGAUUGUUGUCAUUAUUAUUUUUUAUAUUUUAAUAGUGAUAAAUUUUGAAUCUUUUUAGAGAUUAUUAUUUUUUUAAUAGAUAAAAAAUUAUAUAAAUUUAAAAAAUAAGAAACUAAAUGAAGGUAAGGAUGAUAACCUAUUUGUUUAUGUUAUACAUGCGGAAACUUGUAUUGUUGGACACUACCAUCUAUCCAUUCUUGUAUUCAUCUAUAUUCCUAUGUUCUUGUAUUUGGCCAAUUAGAAGACUUCUUUGUCUCUUUGUCUUAUAUGCAAUAGUGAAGCAUUCUAUAGUGAACAAAUUUAAGUACCAAAAUCCUUCUAGUGUUACAAGCCGUAACAAUGAAGCUGCCCUAAACUUGUAAAGAAAUGAACUUCAAACAAAUUCGCAGAACUUUUAAAGCAAAAGCAAGCCACGAGGGCACGUUUGGAGAGGUCAAUGCCAGCAAAAGGCACACUACGUGGUCACACGUGGAUCCAGAGGGAACGGUCAGGAUGACACUGCUACGAAAAGCCGCAUCCAAAACGGUGACGAGCCUCCAGAUCGCGCCAACUGGCGAACGAAUAAUGAUGAAGAAUGUUAAUUCGUCUAAAAAUGGACGAAUACAGGGGCCGUUCUUCGACGUCAAGGUUGGGUUGAGGGUUUUAGGGCCAAGUACGUGCCGGGGCAAACCGCCCUUCCUUGCCCAGCCCAGGCCCCUGUCUACACUGGCAACCCUGACAAUGCACGUCCUCAUUCUCAAGCUUGGAAGAGGCUUCUCUACGCCGGAUUCAAGGCUCAUUUCGGUGAUUUCUGCCCCCCCAACCCUUAAAAAACUUCGUGGGUUGUCUACCUGACUGGAAGGCGACAUUGGUUUCACGAAUUUGCGCGAAAUUGCGAGAAUUUGUGCGAAAUUUCAGCAACAAUGGUGAGAGCAGUGGCGGUCACGUCGAGUUCGGCGAGUUUGGGGUUAGGCGUUACGAAGUCCAGAUUCGUCGUGUGCGAUGGGCUUUCUUCGCAGUCGUUUGUGAUGGUAGGGACGCAUAGGAAGGGCACACGGAUGGUGCAGCCGCUGACGAAAGUGAACGCCGGGAGGAGGGGCGCGGGAUUGGUGAGAGCCGAUGCGUUACCAUCGUCGCAAGAAGUAGCUAAGAAUGUACCAGGAGCGCAGGCGGUGUCCUUGGAGGAGGUCGCCCCCGAUUCUUCGAAACCGAUUUCGGAGAGUAACGGACCCAGUUCAUCUAUGAAGAGUAGAAAUGAGAAUAUCAGGGACGAGGCUCGUCGACAGGGGGCUGGCUGCUCUCCGACCACAUUUUCUGCCAAGUACGUGCCAUUUUGUCCUGGGCAGGAGACUGACGAGGAAUAUUCAUUAGAUGAGGUGAUUUACAGGAGUAAGACCGGGGCGUUGUUGGAUGUUCAGCAUGAUAUUGAGGCUUUGAGGAGGGCUGGAGAUGGGAAUUAUUGGAAGAAAUUGUUCGAUUCGAGAGUGGGGAAGACGACGUGGCCGUAUGGCUCCGGAGUGUGGAGCAAAAAGGAGUGGGUGUUGCCGGAGAUUGAUGAUGAUGACAUCGUCAGUGUGUUUGAAGGAAAUUCCAACUUGUUCUGGGCUGAGCGUUUCGGUAAAGAGGUGCGUGUUAUUACAUUUCUGAAUUUCUAUUAACGUCUAAAAUUUUUCACUUGAAGUGCUCGUUGGAAUACCAAAAAAAAAAAAAAAAAAAAAAAAAAAAAUCAGGACAAAUCAGAUUCAACAAGUCUCGGAUGGUUUUGAUGAUCUCAUUCAUUCCAGGAUCCUGCUUAAGAAUGUUCAGUUAGUCUUUCUGCGAAACCUAUUUUGUGGUGUUGAAUGUCAGAGAAAUGGUGACACAUUGAGAUUUACCUCUACGUUUGUAGCUGUGGUUCGUUCUUAUUCAAAAUUACAUUGAACUAACUAUGAACGUCUAGGUGUUCCGGAUCUGAAGAGAUUAUGAGGGUAGGUUGUCAGUUUGGCUCGCGAGUCUAUGCCAGUGUUUGUAAUCCUGAGCAACAAUUUUUAGCAUGGAUCACUUGAAUUUGGGUUACACAAGAUUGAAAGGGUUGAGCGCAGAUACUAUUUUGGGCAACGGGGAAUUCAUGCUUUUUGACAUGUCCCCCUCAUCAUAGUUGUAGUUUUUAAACCUCCUAACAGUGACAGAAGGUAGUUAGUUGGCUCCUCUAGACACAUGUCUAUCUGUGACACACUUCAAUUCCUUUUCUUUUCUUUUCGUUUACUUAAGGGGUAGUCGACGUAUUACAGUGCUACGAUUUUGGACAAGAAGUACUACAGGAAUCAUCACGUGUAGCAGCCAUAGGGUCACACAUUUUUAAUAUUGCUUCUCAUGUUCUCUUGUAAGUGAGGUAUUGUUACUCAAACGUACAUGUGGCAAACGUGAUUUUUGUAAUAGGGAACCUGUCUGUCUGUCUGUCUCAGGUAUUUCCCACAUUCACCUUUUACUGUUGUGGCGGUGUUGCAGGCACUGAACAUGAGUGAUUUGUGGGUGAAGCACUGCGGUAUCAGCCAUACAGGUUCAUUUAAGGACCUUGGGAUGACUGUGUUGGUCUCUCAGGUAAAUAGGUUGAGAAAGUUGGGUAAGCCUCUUCUGGGCGUGGGAUGCGCCUCAACAGGGGAUACAUCUGCAGCUCUUUCAGCAUACUGUGCAGCUGCAGGAAUUCCUGCCAUUGUCUUCCUACCUGCGAACAAGAUUUCCAUAGCUCAACUGGUGCAGCCAAUUGCUAAUGGGGCCUUGGUUCUGAGCAUGGACACAGAUUUUGAUGGUUGCAUGCGGCUCAUCAGAGAGGUGACUUCAGAGCUACCCAUCUACCUCGCAAACUCUCUCAACAGUCUUCGACUUGAGGGCCAGAAAACUGCCGCCAUCGAAAUAUUGCAGCAAUUUGAUUGGGAGGUACCAGACUGGGUGAUUGUACCUGGAGGUAACCUUGGAAACAUUUAUGCAUUCUACAAGGGUUUUUACAUGUGCAAGGAGUUGGGCUUGGUGGACAGAAUGCCUAAACUAGUUUGUGCUCAGGCGGCAAACGCGAACCCUCUGUAUAGGGCAUACAAAGACGGUUGGGAAACCUUCAAGCCAGUCAAAGCACUUCCAACUUUCGCAUCAGCUAUUCAGAUUGGAGAUCCUGUAUCCAUUGACAGAGCAAUCCACGCCUUGUCUCAGGUCGAUGGUAUUGUAGAAGAAGCAACGGAACAAGAAAUUAUGGACGUCUGUGCACAAGCAGAUAAAUCUGGAAUGUUUACUUGUCCACAUACAGGAGUUGCAUUGGUCGCUUUGCAAAAACUGAGGGGACGUGGUGUCAUCGGCGCAAAUGAUAGAACAGUCGUUGUCAGCACCGCUCAUGGGCUUAAGUUUACCCAAUCUAAAGUAGAUUACCAUUCAAGUGAACUGCCAGAGAUCACAAGCAAGUUUGCCAAUCCUCCUGUCACUGUGCCUGAUGACUUCGGCUCUAUAAUGGACGUCCUUCGCCAAAAGCUCGCCCUGAGAUGAGGCAAGUCCGCCACUAGAUAUCCGAGUGGCUUUGUAUAGGGUAUGGGUUUUUUAAGCUUUGAACUCUACAGCACAGUUUUCGGAAGCGAUAUAUACUUUUUAUACUGCCUUAAACCAAAUUUGGACCCAGAAUAAGCGGUCCGAAUGUUUUUUCAAGGCUUGAUUAUUUUUUUUAUAAUAACUUCUGCUCAUCGAACGUGGAGUUCGGCUUUCUACACGUUUCUGACAGGGCAGACAGUGAGCAGUGAUUGCAGCGUCCAUUUAUACCCAGAUCCGAAGGAAUAAUUCCUUUUGUCCUCUCUGGGUAUUUAUCAUUGCUGACAGACUUCACGACAACGAGUAGAGAGAGGGAAUCGGAAUUACGAUCUAACGGAAGUAAUUCACUUGUCAACGAAAAGGCGAGAAUCUCAUUUGUAUCCGGAUCGAGAACGCAGGCGCGGUAGGAGCUCUUUCAAACCCGCCAGUGGAAUUGGCCGCAUUAGCGGUGACACCAGCCAAUCUGUGCAGUGGUCAACUCCAGUAAAGUAGCUUGUCAAUUCAACAAUCUAUAAGUGGCUCUUUCAAAAAUGUCAAGCUCGUGGCUACUCCGUCCGUACGGUGCAGUCAGGUGGCCUUGUCAGAAAGACUAUUUCAGAAGCCAAUGGAUUGCGUGUGGAUUUUGUUCCACAAUCCAAUCAAAUAAAGGUGAGCUACAGGAGUUUCAAGUGGAUGUGGCUAACCACACGCUUUGCCAUGAGCUGGGAAUUGCUUUCCUGUCAAUUCAUCCCCCAAGCCAGAGCAUGCUGAGAAUGUGUGUUUUUACCUGCUUUUAUCCAUUUGUCAAGUUUACCGCCCCCAUGUAGUUUGUGCACUUCACUUAUUAGAAUAUUAUAUAGCCUUCCCAAUGAUGCUCCAGACCUGAAUUUGUCAUGGAGAUAGAAUGGAAGGCAGACCCGCAUGAAGAGAAUUGGGACUUGGGCCAAUGAUAUUCUUGUGAGAUUUAAUACACGAGCCCAUCUUGGCUGAGGUGUUCAUAAAGGAAGUUGCUAAUCCUGCCGUAUGUUUACGAUAGUCAUUUUGCAGGGGCUGCGCCAACACACAGCGUACAAAUCCCCAAUAGCAGGAUUUGGCAGAAGAAUUGACACGUAAUAUUUACAUUGCAAGGAAUGUAUGCUUCAAUCCUAGCUGCCAGGAACCAAUUGUAUUUGAUGGUAUACGCCUCAUUAACGUGUCUUGGUCAGUGGUUUACGGGCGUCCACUAAUAAUAUCAUUGUUUUUCCCGAUUUUUAUCUGUAAAGAAUGUGCCGAUAACAACCAGGAGCCGCAAACAGCCACCACCAAAAAAACGAACUGGGUUUCUGUAGUUGUCUCUUACGACAACCAAGGGCCACGGCGACUGGAGUGUGAAUUGUAGAAUAUAACUAUCCGCAAACAAAAGUAAACAAAUAUUUAACAAAUCCCGGGGACUAAGUUAUAAACCAUUUACUUUACUUCAGCAGCACAAGAAGCAGCAUGGCUGCCAACAAUGGGCCCCAUUGCACAUGGUACACGUAAAUUAAGUAGAUACAAACCAUACAGAAAGUCUAAACAAUCUAGCACAUAUGUUCAGACUACUGGAUAGGAAUUGCUACAUAACCCUGCAUAAUUAUACCUAAUAAACAGCAGUAUAACUGAAACGUAGUACCUCACUCUCAAUCGAUAUCACAUAAUCGAGUAGCACGCAGUAUUAUUUUUGUACGAUAUGCGCGAGAAAAAGCUACCUCAGACACAUAGUAUUUAACUCGCAAUGUCCAUAACAGUAUCACCUUCAACAGCUGAGAGUCCCAAACUUCCAGCAGCCUGUUGAAAAUCAAAUCCACAGAAAGUGGGAUCAAAAUGCUUCCACAGAGAAUGGAUAGAAAUUUAUUAUCGCUUCAAGGCCAAAAAAAUAUACGAUGCGCAUCAAUUGUGUACUGCUAAGGGGUAUGAACCGAAGUAUAACACAAGCGUUGUAGUGUAUGUGACAAAGAACACAUUAGUACCAACAGCAAUCACUAGCUCAGAUAGUUUAAAAGUUUCCGUUGUCAGAUUAUUGGAGCCCAAGAAGAUUACCUCUUUGAGUUGGGCUGUAUUUUGAAGGAGCUUCUGGGAGCCAGACUUUCUUCUGCAUUGCCACAGUCGCAUCUUGACCGUCGCCCAAAUUAUGGUAGUUGCCCAGUUCCAGGUUGUGUACACCAGAAUUCGACAUGUACAUGCUUUUACUCGUUUUGGAGAUGCUGUCGCUCAUAAGCCGAGAUUCCCUUGGUGACCUUGCCUCAGGAGACGGUGAGUGGACCAAGUCUCCGGGCCCUGCAGAAACGGAACAGUCCUGAGAAUUGGAGAAGGUUUAUAUGUGUCGGACCAAAACAAUUCGCAAGUGGCAGCCCUUACUAGAUGUGAAACAAUUUAACUGUGUAAGGUUAACAAAGUUUAACAACAGCACAAAGCAUAUUUUGAAAUCCAACCUGGAGAACGACCUGACUUGUCGGAAGUUUUCACAGUCCGAUACAUCUGCACUCACCCAAAACAACGGAACAUCCUCAGAACUCCAAGAGGGCACCGAAGCUGAGUAUUGAGUCAAUGGAACGAAUGCAUCGAAAAUGACAGAUGAGUCAAUUCACAGACCUGUAAGUGGCUCUUCACAUGAGCCAGGGUAAGGUCUUUCACGUUCAUCAGCUCCAGAACAGAUUUCGGUGUUGCUCCUGCGUAAAUAUUAAAAUAAGUAACAAUAAGAUCCGAGUCUUGAAGAGCCGCAAAAUGAAAGGGAUUACAGAGAAUUCAAAACUUUAAUUUAUUACAAGAUAGCUGAAUAGUGUUUUCACACUUAAAUCAGUUUCAAACUGAAUCCCUAUUGCUCUUACUUUCAUGGCCACCAAGGAGCUCCACCGCUUGAACAAAGUAUGCAUGCAGGGCAGUAGUCCACCUCAUCCUCGGAGCUCGUAUCGAGCGUUUGCACGGUGACUUAAGCGGAAAGCGAGAACGAAAAGCAAGGUUCGCAUAAAUACCCUCCUGUUUAGCACUGUAGCCCUCCCUAAUAUUACCAGAGAAAGUUGAUGGAUUCCCAGGCAAUGUCGAGGCUUGCUGGCCAGGGCCGCCCUUCUCAACACGACGGGAAUUAUCAUCGUCAUAACCGUAGAAAUUCGGGAACCUUGGGCCAGGCUCCCUUUCACCUACAUGAUAGUUCCCCAAUUUCAAACAGUCAGGUCUGGACAAACCGCCCGAUGGCACGACAGGAUCGCUCAGCCUACCCAAUGAAAGCUCGUGAAUGACAGAAGGCGAAGGAGCUGGCGGAAACACUCUCUGCUGUAAAGGAAGGUGAUCCAUAUAAUUCUCAUUCAACCUCCUGGAGAAAUCAUCUUGGAUCUCGCCCGUGAACAUCCUCCGAAAGUCCUGACGCACCCGUUCAGAUGGUGAGCAUGUCCUGUUUGCAUCUGUGCCAGUGUAUUUCGUCUCUGACCUGCUGUCCAUGUCCAGCAAGAAAGGAUGGGCAUGGUCACUACCCAGAUAUCGAUUUUCCUGUAUGUUCAUUUGCACUUCUUCCAUGCUUCCAAGGGUCAUACCCUUUGGAGCUCGUUUGAGAAACGGUGGAUCGGAGGGUGGGGGAUUCGCCAGACACAGUACAGUGGAUGCUCCCACAUUAUCCAAGUAGGAAGAACAUCGCUCAAUUCUGGGGCUAGAGGCAUUGCUCUCACUGUCAGCGCAGGAGCUCAUAGGUUUCGGAGACUGUCUCCAAAGAUCGAAGCCAUGGACAUGCUCGGGUAAAUCUUGGUUAACAUUCUGCGGUAGACAGGUUCUAGGCCGUGUGUCGCUGCUGCUAUUCGGUGGGCUGAUGUGAAGCGCCAAAUCAGGGCCAGGGGGGUUGGUGGUGGAUCUUGAUACAGUCAUGGGAUUAUCUAGGCUAGACUCUUGCAUUGUAAGCUGGCAGGUGAACUUCUCCUGCAGCUGGUCUCAAUGCAAAAGGUCAACUAGGGAGGGACGGAAGACGGAAAUUAUUCUUGGUCAGGAUAAGUCGAGUAAUUUCAGGAGAUCCUCAAAAAUAAAGCCUGAGAUAGUGGCCAGGGAAAAUGUGCCUCAACCGUAUGGAGGAGAUCGCACCACUCGCAGACUGUGAGGAAAGUGAAGGCACCUCAGAUGACGAAUAAAGACGUGAAUGCCACAGGCACCUCCACACUCCAUUCUAAUUCACACAAAAUGAAGCCUUUGUAGGAGAGAUCACGAGCCACAAGUGGCUAGAAGUGUGGGAAUCGAGAAAAAAUCAGGAACAACUCGCAGAGAGUAGGGAAGAAUCCUUCAUGGACUAGGAGAGUCAGGUUGAAGCGUCCCCAAACCAACCAGCUUGAAAAUCCUGACGAAGUCUGAAAAAAAAUCUAACCGAAAUUCCUACCAACGGCAACAAAUUUGGACGAAAGUAUUUAAGCUGUUCUUCCCCAAACCUUCAGCAGCUCAAAGACUCGAGAGAAUCUCAAAUAGCCCUCAAGAUUGUAAGAAAGCCCCCCACAAUCUCCACCAGAAAGCUUGAGAUGACGUCCUAGGCAGAAGAGCCGUCCCUACUCCAUCCCGUCUAGAGCGCCCCACCCGCGCAGUAGCAAAGAGGCCAAGCCAAGAAUGACAACGGGGUCACCACGGACAUGAGCAGUGUAGCGACAUUCCGGGAAACCAGUAACCUGAAGAGAGAGAGCACAGAGUGGCGUCUGGAAACCUAGCGACGCAUAGCGCAGAAACCAACAGUAGAGCUUCGUCGUCCCCACACGAAUGGAAUGUUUUGCAUGCGGCCUCACUGGCAGACGAGGUAAGGGGUCACUCAAAUCUCAAAGAGCGGAACAUUCCACAGCACAUUGACCCCUCCCGACAUCCUAGCUGCAAACACCACGUGAGGGAUGACAACAACCCGGUGCAAAGCGAACUCGUGUGCAUCCGUGCCAGUCUUGGAUUCCACACUCAUUCCCAAUCCAAGCCUCUCAGGGAAGAGUUACACGCUCGCUUCCUCCUCCUCUCUCUCCCUCUUCCUCUUCUUCUUCUUCAAAAUCCCUCCUCUUUCAAAAUCCCUUCCUCGCACCCACCCUUCAAACUACCUCCACACUCCACCGAUCUCAACCCCGAAAACUUCCUCCAGUUGCAGAAACCGCAUCGGAAAGCACAGAGACAGCGUCGACGACAAUAGAAGGCGGCAAACAAGCCUGUGAAGCGGAAGACGGUAGAAAUACGAGCGCGAAUCGGAGCGUCAGCAAAAACCACACACACAGCAAAGAACGCACAACAAAGACAAAGCCAGCGAAUCCGAAGAAGAUGAAGAAGAAGAAGCCCUGCGGCCCCUUCUUCCGUGGGGAACCAGGGGUGGAGAACGCGGGAACGGGAUGGGAACUCCGUGUUCCUCUCAUCAUCACCCGUCUACCACUGGCCUCGCAUGGGCCAAUCCCAUCACCCCCCACCCAAUCCUCGUCAUGUGGAUGAAUGUCUUCUUUCGUCUUUGGUUGCGCCUCCUCUGGGUGCCGUUCGUUUUGCGAAUGUUCAUUCAUUUUCGCCGUAAGUUUCUCAUCCAUGGCGGAUGAAUAUAUAUAUAAUUUAUGGAGCUCCAACAAAGUUGUUGAUUAAUAAUAUGACAUUAUAAAAACUAUUCCUACCAUUUACUUCCACAAACUUUUUAUUAAUUAAUUAGUUAUAGUAUUUUGUAUCUGACAAAAAUUAAUCGCCAUGAUUAUAAAGGAAUAAUCUGCAAACCCAUUCACGAGUAAUAUAUGACAACAUUUAGAUUAUUAUUUGUCUUGUCUUGUUAGCAUUGUGUAAUGAAUGCUUUUCGAAUCAGAUUUUAAAAACGUGUAUUCAAAUCAAUUCUAUUUUGUUUCCCUGUUGGGAAAAAAUAUAUAUAUAUAUAUAAAUAUUUUUUUUUAUUUAUAGUUUGAAAAACCAUUCCCCAAGUAGAAAACCUAAUUGGUAUAAAGUUUUUAGACUAAUCCUACUUGAUCAGUAUAUUUUUUCAAGAAAUCUGAGCCAAAUUUUUUUAUUUUUUUGUUUCUGCAUUAUGAAUGGUCAUUUCAAUAACUAUUCUACUUGCAUUAUUAAUACAUUUGUAUGUAUGUGUGUGUACAUAUAUAUAUGUAUAUAUAUAUAUAUAUAUAUGCUCAUCUCUGCAGCAAAAUUUCAUUCAAUUCUUAAAACUUCAAACAUGAUAUCCAUUUAUUAACAUUUUCAUUAAAAAUAUAUAUAUAUAUAUAUAUAUAUAUUAAAAUAAUCAAAUAUAAUUUAUUAUCAUUGAUUUGUGUUUUACAAGCAAGAACUAGUAUGCAAACUUUGUUACAAAAACUUUUAGUAACAUGCAUUUGCAUUCCUAAAAAAUAUAUUUACUUAUGUGUAUAUAUGUACAUAAAUACUAAUAACAAGGUUAAGAAUCUUACUUAAAGAAACAUUAUUAAAGUAGGUACUAAGUUUUGAUUUAUAAAAGAACUAUUGGACGGACAUCACCUUUAGGUUAUCACUACAUUAGCAAGACAUCACCCUUCAUUUUUAAUAAGCAUAAAACAAUCUUGCAUCUUCAUUGAAAAACAGUAUUUAACAUAAUUCCUCAUUCUAACAACACAAUGCCGUUGGAAGCCUCACCUCUCUUUGAUUGUAAACAUCUUUAUAUAACAUUGGGCAAUUGAUAAGAUGGAAGAUUUUUGCAAUGAUAUUGAAGACAACACUCACUUUCAACAAUGAAGUUGUCAUUUGCUUUUAGAUUGCAAUAAUUCUUCUUGCCACAAGAUAGAUUGCAUUAUUUUCAACUAGAUUGUAGAUGUGGCAAGCAUUCACAAUUUUAUGAUCCUAACCAUGAUAUAUUUCCCAAUAUCUCUAAACAAUCACAUAAUAGAGAUAGAUCAUUCUUGUCCUAGUUGUAUUCCUUAGUUAUUGUUCUUUCAUUGUAAGUUUUCAUUGCUCUAGAUGUAAAUAAAAUCAAUCAUUUUAAAUCUCCAAAUGGGCAAUUUUCAUUCUUCAUACAUUCUCCAACUUUGGCAAAGUCUUCUACCUCCAUUAGAGCUUCUUUGAAGGUCAUUUAAAGAUAGAGAUAGGACUUCUAGCGGCAUUGUUUUGUGAGAACAUGGGAUCUUAUUGAAUAAGAUUGUUGGACAAAGAUGGAAGAUGUUUUUACUUUUAUUUGAAAAUGAAGGAUGGUAGCACAAAAACACCUUUAUAAAUGAAAACAAGAUUUAUCAAAAUUCUAAUUUUACUAAUGUUUCUUAUUUACUUGAAACUUAGUUUGAGAUUUAAUAGAUUUUUUGUAUAUAGCAACAAUUGUAUCAAUACUAUAUUAUUUUUAAAACAUAUUUUUUUGUUAAUCUAAUUUCAUUACUUCUACAUACAAAUAUAUUAAAUAUUCUUUUAUUAAAUAUAUGUAAAUUGAUAGUUGUAACAUUAUAAAGUACAAACAUUAUUUUUAGGAGAAAACAUUUGAGAAAAUAAAAGUCAAUAUAUAUCAUGAAUAUAUUUUUCAAAUAAAUUUCAACCAUAAAAAUCAAAUUUUUAUAUUAAAAAUUUAUGAUUUUAGAUUAUAUACAUUUUUUAAUAGAAAAAAAACUACAACGAGUUUAAUAAAUUUUACAAAUUAUUUUAUAGUAUGGAUAACUUAAUUUUAUAAAUUUAAUUUAAUUUAAUUUUUUUACUCAUUGAUUUGAAAUUUAAAUUAAUGGUAAAUUAUAAUUAAAACAUUACCAUACAGAUAUGUAUAAAGACAUUGUAUCUGAAAAAUUGUAAUGUAGUAUUACCAAUUUUUUCUUACAAAACGUGUAGAUUGCAGUGGAUCCAAAUUUAAUCUAUUGUCAAACAUUUUAGAACUAUUUAUCUAUAAAUUAGAAUUAUUGAUUAAUAAGGACAUUAAAAAUGUUGACAAAAAACUAUAAAUUCAUAUUCAACAUUUGAAGUAAAAACAAAUGGAUGCAAAAGAAAAAUAUAUCUCAUCAAUAAAUGAUUCUUUAAUAAACACUAAUGACCAAGUAAAUUCCAUGUUUUAAAAAAUCACUCAAAUUUAAGAUUUUGUAAGUAUUCCUCAUCAGCCUUCAAUUGAAUCAAUGCUUCAAUAUCUUCAUGUAGAGCUGCUUCUUUGGCAAUUCUUUUUGCUUCUCGUUUAUAUUUCUAAAAAAAUGAAAAUAAAAAAUAAAAGGUAUUACACCUGAACUAUUUACUUACCAUAACAUGUCAAGUAUAAUAUGUGAAUAAAUAAUGAAACUUUGUGAUUAAAAUUAAAACAUUAUAAAUUAGAUGCUAUUUGUUUCAUCUUGUUUCAUUUGAAUAAAACUUUAGACUAUUUCAAUUACUUUUAAAUAUAAUUUACUCAUGAGAGUGUACACCCACCAUUUGAUUCAUAAGAAAUUCGGCAUUUCUUUUGUUCAUGUUCAAUACAUCAAGUUCUGCCUUUUUUUCUUCUUCAAUACAAUUUUGUAUGUGUUGUAACACAUGUUCAUCUUCAAAUUGUAAAUCUUUCCUUUCUUCUUCCAAUAACUUAUUUCUCGCCUCAAUCUAAAUAAAUUGGAUCCCAUUUAGUCAACAAAGUAUUCAUCAAAAUUUAUGUUCCAUUUCUUUUGAUUUAAAAAUGUUAUUGAGGUAUAUAUAUAUAUAUAUACAAACACCUAUGCUCACAUGAAAAUUAAAUUACUAAGUGAAACUCCCAUUAUUUAUCUAUAAUCUUAAUAUCAUAAUUCUAAUUAUAUUGAAGCUUUAUGUAUGGGUUGUAAUGUGAAAAUUUCAUCAAAUAAUGAAAAAAUACUAACUUGAAUUUGUCGUGAUUUAUGACAUUCUGCUAAUAAUAAUUUGGACUUUAAUUGUUUUGCUGCAAGAGCCUCAUCAUCCGCCUUUUCUUUAGCUUUCCUAUAUUUUUCUUCAUCUUCUUUGAAUUUCGCUGUUUGAGUUUUAUAAAUCUAUUGGGGUAAAAUAUAAAUUAAAUAGAGACAUUUAAGAAAGUAUAGAAUAUUUUGAUAUUUUACAAGAGUAAAAUAAGUUUUGUAAUUUACAAUCAGUAGACGAAAUAAUGUCGUAAUUAACAUCUACUUUAAUACAAUAAAACUGUACUGGAAAAUUUCCCAAUUAAUACCAACUUUUAAAAUCACUACUUCUUUAUCACAAUUACUUCUAAUAAACUUGUAAUUGUAAUUGUGGUUCAACCUUGUCAAGUUUAUCAAACAUUUCACUUUCAUGGUUUGCUUUUGCUUUAUAUUUGGCGUCCUUUAUUUUAUUUAGCUCCAUGCUUUGCAUUUUUUUCUUUCUAGUAUAAGUUUCAAUUUCUUUUUCAAGCUUUUCAUCCAUCUCUCUUUCUUUAUCUCCUUUACUCUAUAAGUGAACUAGUUCAAAUUAAUCAUAAAAUCCUAAAUUAUUUCUUAAUAAAAAAUUCAAAAUAUGAAAAUGUUAUAAAAUACCAAUGCAUGUAUUAUCAAGUAUUAUUAUGAAGACAAUUUCAAAAAGCCAUACUCCUAGUUUUUUGUUAGAUGCUACUAUUUCUUUGGUCAUUGCCACGGCCAUGUCUUUUUUCCUUUGUUUUUCAGCAUCAUCAAUUGCAUUCAUUUCUGCAAUUUUCUUUUUCAUUUUUUCAUUUUCUAUCAUGGUUUCUUCUUUCUCCUUUUUUUGCUUCUUGUGAACUUGUUCAAGCUAAUACACAUCACAUCCAAAAUCACAAAAAAAACAUUGUGUAAAAUUAAUUGUAAUAAAAUGUCAAGUUUAAGUAGCUUUGGAUUGUGCAAUGACAUAACCAAUGUAUUGUGUAUUUUGUGGAAAAUUUCAGUAUUUUAUUAAUGCAAAAAGAAAAAGUAAACAUUUGAAAGAGGUCCUGAAUUUUAAUGUGAAAUUUGAAAACCUGUUCAUUUUGGGCUUUUAAUAACAAUUGGGUUGCUUCAUAAGCUUUCUUAUUUUUAAACUCCUCUUCAUUAUCAUACUUUGAUAAAUUUUUUAGCAUUUCAUUAUGGUAGUAAGCAUCUUGAUCGGCCCACUUUUGUUUCCAUAUUUUUUGAAUCUUACAUUGUUCUGCACGCUCCUAAUUAAUUUGUCCAAUAAAUGUUUUUCUAAAUUUAAAAUAUGAAUACAUGCAUGUAUAUUUAUACAUAAAUUAUAAAUAUUCCAAUUUUUCUUCCAUUAUUACAUAAAAUACACAAAAAAAAUAUUACAAGUUACAUUUAAAUACAUUUAAUGACAUUCAUUAAUUCUUUAUAAUUAAAAAUACAGAUAAUGGUUUAAAAGAUGUGUGUGUGGAUAUAUAUAUAUAUAUAUAUAUAUAUAUAUACAUAUAUAUGCAUACUUAUAAAUUUGCAUAACAUUGAAAUUACUUUCAAAACAUCAUUUAUCCAAGCCUUUGAUUGAAGUGAUUUCACAUGCACUCUUUCUAGGAGAAAAUUUGCUUUGUUAAUCUGUAUAACAAAAGUGUUAUCCUUUCAAUUAAUCAAAAACUCAUGGUAAUUGCAUCCAAAUUUACCACGUAUAUAAUUCCAAAGAAUAGCACACAAUACUUGUGAGAAUUUCAUUUUUUAAAUCAUAGAUUUUCUUUUUAAUGUGAAUAGUGAUUAAUUUUGCAGAUAAAUUGAAAAAACUUAUAAAAUAGAUAUUAGAUCAUAAAUAUCAUCCACAAUCUAAUUAAAUAAGAUUCGAGGACAAGAAUUUCUCCAUGCACACCAGUUUUAUCUAUGUUACGAUUUUAGAAAUAAUGUUUUUUGCUCAAAAUGCACAUUAAUAUUCUUUAAAUUAGAGUAUAUAGAAUAAUUCCAAACUUUAAAUUCAAUCGAAAGACUUAAUUUAGGGUGUAGUUUGUCUUUAUUUACAUUAUACCUAAUCAAUGCACAUCGAAUAUUUAUCCGUUGUUUUGACUUUUGCAUGAAUCAUUGUAGUUAUCUUUAGCUUAUUAUUACAUUUAUGCAAUCUUUGCUAAUCACACAAAAUUAAUCAAAAUGCUUCAAGAAAGAAACAUUUGUCGUGUUGAUUAAAUUUAAUCAAGGUUUACCUUUUCAAGUCGCUCUUUAUGUCGAAUAGCCACAUUUUCCUGAUCUAUCCUUAUCAGAUCGUCCUACAUUAUUUCAAUUCAUGUGAAUAUUUUGAUAAACUUAGGAUUAUAUAUAUAUAUAUAUAUAUAUAGAUGUGCAACAAGCACAGGGUCUGUGUAUUGUAAGCGCAUGACAAAGACUCUGUAUUGAAUUUCAAACCGUGUAAUAAUUGUGAGAUAUGUUUUUUUUAUAAUAAGUACUUUCUGUUCUUUUUAUUUAGUUUUUUCUCUUAAAGAAUUGCAUAACAUUACAUUAUUGGAUUACUUCUUCUUUCUUCAGUCUGUCUUGUCUUGCUUUUUCUCUCAAUAAUCGUAGAUUGGCAAGUGUAUUUGGCCAUUUUGAAGCUCUCUCUGCUGAUAUUUUUCUCAAUCUUUGUUGCUAUAAUGUCAAAAACAUUUUGCAAAAACCAUUUUUGAUGCAUUCUUGUAGCAACAAAAUCCAAAAACUAUGCAUAUAUAUAUAUAUGUAAAAUUCUUGGAUUCUGUUAAUAGGAGAGUAUAUUUGUUUGUAUAAUAGGGUUUUUUAAUUAAAAUUAUAUAAAUUGGGUGAGUAUCAUUUGUAUAUAUAUUUUUUAAAAAUCCAUACCUCUGCUCUAAAAGCAGCUAAGGGAUUGUCAUGAAGGUCUUUUUGAGCAAGUCGUAAAUAUUCACUUUCAGGUAUUUCAGUGGCAUUGCAGCAGGAAUGAUGUUUGAUUGUAUGUGCCAUAAUUCUUCAAUGUUGUAUAACUUUAAGCCUCAAUUAUAUUAUAAAUUGUUUUAGUGCCAAGCACUGGCAUUAUAGGAGUAAUUUUUUUAUAUUACUUCUAAAAUAUAUAUAUAUAUAUAUUAACAAUUACAUUCCAUAAUUUAUUCACUUGUGUAGGUAAUUCUAACUUUUGAAGGCUCUCUCAAACACACACAACACACACAAAUAAAAGGUACUAUAUCUUGCAGUGUUUGUAAAUAAAGAAAAGACCUAACUUAAUCAACAUUUUUGGACUCUGCUCAUAAAUUACAUAUAUGAUGUUAUUUUUACAAAAAAAACUUUUGUUUUAGGGGGAAUAAACCGAUUGUUGAACAGAAUAUUCCAAUAAUGAUAGAUGAUCUUUUACAAUAAGUAUAGUUUGAAAAAAAAUAAAAAAAAUAAACUAAUCAUUUGAUAAACACAGUUAAAAUUCCUUUGUUAGGUUAAGAAUACAGAGUCUUUUUUCAGAAAAGAAAUAUAAAAAAAGUUAAAAAAUAUAACUUUUUUUUUCUGCUUACAUGAAAAGUUAUUUAUUAAUACAUUUUACUACCAUUGUUUCAAAAUUGAUUCUUUGAGAUUGAAUUCCCAUUUACACUUAUUUAUUUCUUUGUUUAUUUGAAUAAGAGUACUGUGGGUACUGCAAGAAAAGAAAAAGAGAAAAAAGAAAAAAAUCACAGUUGUUUAAUCAUUACUCUGGUUUUGUAAAAUCUUGUUUUGAGUACUAUAAUUUAUAUUUGAGGAAAAAAGAAAUCAACAAACAAAAGAAAAGAAAACAUCUUUAGAAAAUUUUGUUGGAUAUGUUGCAUAAAUAUAAAAUAAAAUAACUACAUUCUAUGUGAACAUAGUAAUUUUUGCUUAAGGUUUUUAUUCAAAAACAAUCAUAGUACAUAACUAUUAUUAAAAGACCAAUAUAUGUAGAUAUGACUUGUUUUUGAAAAAUAUGUUGGAACAUAAAUGUUUUCUUCAAAUAAUUUUACAGAAACUCCAAAAAUACUCAAAGCUACAAAUCAUUAGACAAGUGUUGUAAAUCACAACAAAUACUUUACACAAACUGAAAUUGCAAUGAUGGCAAUUUGAAGAACUACAGUUAGGUGAAUCAAUAUAUUUAUUAAUCAUAUUUUAUAGAAUAAAAUUACAUCUUAAUUUAAAUUACAAUAAAAUUCACUAAUUUUUAAAUUAAAGAACAUACAUUACAUGAGUAUUAUUUGAUUAUUAUUGUACACACACCCGUAAUGUCUACGCACAAAUCCAAGGCAUUUAACAUGAUUUGUGCACCAAAACAAGGAAGAGGGUGAAGAGGGUGAAGAGGUCCAAGACCCAUGCAAGACAAGGUGGAGUGUAUGUAUAUAGACAUUAUGGGUGUACAUAUAGCAAUUUGGGAUGUGCUUGUAGUGGAAGCCAUAUUAUUUUGGAAACUAAACAACUAUUUUGAGUAAUUUUGUAGUAUUUUAACAAAUUCAUGCAAUUUUUUUUUAUGUUAAUUGAUUAGAGUUUACAUUAAAUUUAUUUUGCAAGAUAUUCAUAAUAUUUUUUUUACAAAAUUAAAGGCUUAAAAAUAUGGUAAAAGUGUGUAGAUAUGAAAAAAAUACCACCGUUUUUUUAAUACCAAGAUAGGUAUCUUGAUAAAUUUCUAAGGUUCAAGAAAAAAUAAUCAAAAUGUCGUAUGCAUACUCUAUAGGGUGUCAUUUUUGCUAAUGUUAAUCACACAUGCAUUACUUCUAUUCUACCAAUAGAUUUCAAACAACAAUGCUCAUUAUUUUCAAACAAACAUCACAAUAAAUAUAACAAAUUCCUUGUUUUCAAACAACCUUUAUACACGACACAAACAACAUGUCAUUUCAUUUUCCCCUUCACCAACGUUACAAAGUAGGAUACUAAGCCUCACCACAAGGAAAUGUUAAACCUUCUUGACAAGUCCCAAAACAAAAAAAUAAAAGAAAAAAAAGAGAGAAAGUAGAAGUAGAAGUAGAUAGAUGGGUAUUGCCAAUCUUAAGAGAGAGGCUCGUCUAAUUUAUUUAGAAGGACAUCCAACUAAUUUUAGAAGGGAUCCCUCCAAACUAAACUUAGAAAGACACUUCGAAAUACAAGGAGCAAGUGUCGGUAGCAUGUGCAAAUCAAACCAAUGUGGGAGUAAUCUGUCCACCGAGACACAGUCUUAUUCUUAGGGUUUCGGGUUGAAAACAUCAAUCAUUUCUUUUCUUUCUCUUUUUUGUGACGUAUAGAUAUUCCUUAUGAAACCACCAUGUCUGUGGUAAUUUUAUUUGCACUUUUGGCUUUAUUUGGAGUUGUAGAAUUUUGGGUAUUCUAACUGUUCUUACACAUGUUUCCUUUUCUUAGCAACUGCAAGUUGUAAGUGUCACUUCGUGGUUGUGCUUGUCUUGAGCAUAUUCUGGAUAUUUUUAUAGAUAAGAUGCAAGACAUAACUAUAUAUUUUUAUUGUUUAUUAUUUAUACUAACUUCUUUACUUGUAAAUAUAUUGAUUAUACCUCUAACCAAAAUUAGAUUUUAAUAUGACUCAUUAACAAAGAAGAAAAAAUAAAUAAAUAGAAACCAUCGUGAAGUUAAUAAUCAAUAUUACUCUUUCUGUAAUAUUUUGUACAGAUUAACAUGGAAGUAUCAUUCAUUUAUGAUUGAUAAAAUAUAUUUUUAUAAAUAAAAUAUAUGCAAACAAAUAUAUGAAAUAUAUGAAAUAUAUGAAAUAUAUACAUGUACUCACACCCACCCACAGUUCUUUGUAAUAAAAAAUCCAAAUAAAUUAUUAAUAUAAUUUGUAAAAAUACAUUUAUAAAAUAUAAAUAUUUUAAUUUGUGUGGUAUUAAUGGUAGCAUGUUCAUUACAGAACUUAUUAAUUAAUUAAACUAAACUCAUCACAUUAACCACUUUGAUUCUAUACUAAAAGUUGUUUUUAUGAUCUCUUUAUAAAAAGGAGUGUUAGAAUUUUAGAAUUUAACGUGUAUAAAAUAUAUAUAUAUAUAUAUAUAUAGUACAACAUACAAUAUUUAGUGCUAAAAAAUAGUCAAUCAAUUCUAGAGUCAUUUUUCUCAAUGUCUUUUUAAAUAUGCUUUUCAUAUUUAUAACACUUCUUUUUAAAAAUUCUUCUAUUAAUUUCAUUUUUAUAAAUCAUACAAAUAAAUCUAUAAAAUUGCUUGAAUGUUAUUUGAUGGAUUUGGUGAACAUGUCAAAGUAACCAAAGAUACAUAUGCUCUAUAGUUUAACCACAAAAUUGCAACAAAGUUGGAUAUAAAAUAUUCAGAAUUAAAACUAAACAGAUAAAUUUCCUCAAUUAUUCCAAAAAAUCAUACCAAACAAACCACAUGCUACAGUAAAAACUUGUAUAUAUAUAUAUAUAUAUAUAUACAUAUAAUCUGAAAGUUAUUCUAUUCGGGACUAAGUGCAUGAAAUUACACAUGACAUGAAAAUCAGCCAUCAAUGUAAAACUGCACAUCUAAUUUUUUUUAUUGCUCACCUGCGCAAAUUUCUACAAAAUAUUAACCAUUGUUCUGUUUUAAACAAUUCUGAAGAUGUAAUCUUUAAGUUGUCUUUGACAAAAGAUGAGCCAUUCUAGAUUCAAUCCAUGUGGUCACAAUAGAUAGAAAGUUAUUUACAAAUGCAUCCAAUUUGUCAAUAAAUCCAGUAAAUAAUCAUUUUUAAUACUUCUUCUACUGCUAAUUAUUAUUAUUAUUAUUAUUACAUAGACACACACAAUAGAUUUGUUCAAUUUCCAACAACUACUGUGCAUCAAGAAUUUAUGCAUCUUUUAUUAGAAAAAUAUACAUACACUAAUUUAAGGCAUUUCAUAACAUCAGGUACUUCAUCUUACAUAAAUUAUUGAAUGAAUGGAAAAAGGAAUUAUUUUUCAAAAAAAAGUUUAAUAAUAUUAGUAUGCAUUUGGAUAGAGAAAUGUGGGCAAUGCGUUGAAUAUGAUGAAAAGCGACAACUAGUUUUUUAUAUAAAGCAUCUUUUUUGUUUUGUUAUGGCAUGGUAGAUGUGUAGUGCAAUGCUCCAUCCACAUAGUAACAUAUGAAGAAAUAUAAUGUAAAUAUUCCAACAUGAGCCACAAGCUCGCUAAAGUAUAUAUGUGCUAAAUGUCAAAGUUAAGAACUAAGAUUCAACAUCAUACAUGGUUGGCUUGAAACCUUUGGACAUGAAGCCAUUUAUUCACAAAGAAUAAUAGUACAAUUGAUGCUUUAUUAUUUAGAUUGUCCUUGGAAUAUAUUUUCUAUCAUUAGCUAUCAUAAUCUAACCAUGUAACUAAGGAUAAUACAAGAUGUUAGUCCCUUAAUGCCCAAACAAACUACUUGUAAAUGAAUUCAAAAUAAAAAGUCAAAAGAAUGACAAGAUUAUUAAUGGUGAUUUAAUGCAAGAGCCUAUGAAAUUAGAUUUAAAAUUUAUAUAAAUAUUAAAACAAUAAUCUAGUCAUGCAUUUGACUUAGGGCAUCCAAUUAUUUACUCUACUUCUAAAAGAGUUUUAUUUAUAUGUAUAUUACAAUUGAAUCUUAAUGUGAAACUCUCUUCUUAAAGUGCAGCUUAAGGCACACAUAGCUAGAUGCAAACAUCAUAAAAUACAGACAGAAUUCAUACCCAAUAGAAAUCAAUUCAAAGAUUUCAGCAAAAUCCUAGUCUGGAGAUGAGGGAUAUGGAAUGUCUAGUUAUAAAAAUACAAACAACAAUUGCUGGGUAGUUAGUAUAAUAAACUUAAUCGUUUUCUUCCUGUGAAAAAUAUCUCUGUAGUGAACAAUGGAAAAAGUGUAAUAUAUGUGUAUAUAUAUAUAUAUAUAUAUAUAUAUAUAUAUCACAACCAUUCAGAAUUGUGCAGAAUGGUGCAGUGGUUUUUGUGCAACAUGUGAGUCUGUUUUUCAGCAGCCAUUUAACAGUAAUAUAUGUUUGAGUAUGCAGUACCAAAAGACCAUGACAAUGUUGUUGCCAACCCUAUUGCAGAGAACUAAUCUGCUAUGCAAGUCUUUAAAAAUGUUGAUAGAAAUUAAGCCAAUGUGUUAGUCCUGAAACAUGUACUAGCCAAAAACUUUAAAUAUUCCAAAAAAAAUUAAGAGGAGCUUUCAGGAUAAUAAACUUUGCAUUGGCCAAUUUUUUCAACUUCAUCUAAAUCUGAAGCUUUCAAGUGUUGCCACAUAUUCAGUGCAAGUCCAUUGAGAUUCACAACAGCAUCUCACCUGAUUGUCAAGUGAGACAUUUGGUAUUCACUAUCUUUGCUAAAGACACAUGCUUUCUUUGUAUGAUUCAAGAAAUAUCAACAAUGACAAUCCAGCAAAGAGAGGAUGCAGAGGGAAUUUGAAUCAUAUUUCUGCCAUAUUUCUAACCUUAACAGGCUUUGAACUUUGAACUUCACUACAUCACAGAUCAUUGCUUGCCUGUGUUCAAGUACAUCUGUGACUAUCCAAAUAUGGUCUUUGUGCAUUUUCAUUCUUACCUCUGGCAGAGCUUACUAUCAAAUUUGAGGUUCCUUGGCUUGUGAUCCAACAAGAAUAUUGGAGUAGAAAUGCUUGACCACAAAUACAAUCUCAUUUGAACUGCAGCAGUGUUGCAUUAUGAUGCUAAAUGGAUAUUUGGUGGACUCAAAGCCAAGAAUAUCAACUACUAUCAAUGAUCUCAUACACUGAUCAAGCUUUAUGUCCAUGUCUAGCAUAAGAGAAUGUAUGCCUUUGCAAGAGCAACAAUAAAGAAAGAUGACAUGAUCAAGUCAGAACUGGAUACCUUUCAAAUCUUAAUACUCCUGAUCUGUCGUUACUAUUAGAUCACAAGCCAAGGAACUCCAAAAUUGAGUAUAACCUCAGCCAGAGGUGACAGUAUUAAUGCAUAAAAGAAUCACACCUAGGCUGGAACUUGCCCAUGAAGGCACAUUGACCAUGUUUGGAAUACCACAAAUGCACUCAACCACAUGCACUCAGAAUCAAUGAUCCGGUGAAAAUCCAAGCUUGUUAUGCUUAGCAAAUGGCAGAAAUAAAUCUAAGUGUUAGACAAAAAUAGUAGAAUAUCAGUCAAGUAUUAGACGAAAAUCUGGUAAACAUGGAUACAUUGUCAAACGCUGUUAUUCCUUUAACCCCCUGAGCAUUCCAAGGGGUACUUGAUUCGUAGAAAACGAUUUCCUGAACAUGUAUUUUAACUUACAGGCAUAGGACAAUAGUUGGCACCAGAAAAUUUAAACAACACGUUGCACUGUUGCUGACACUCUUGAAACCAGCAAUAAUUCCCCGCGAACAAUCAGUGAAGCUCUUCAGAGUGGAAGUGCCACUUCUCCUCUCCAUCUUGCUUGAAUUUUAUGACCUGACCUCCUGGAGAAUUACCCAGUCUGUCAAGAUUUAGUAACAAAAGAAGAUGUGGAUAAACAAUCACGGACAACGAGGACGGGAACUAUUGUACACCAGCUCAUGCAGGUUUUAUAUCGUCAAAUCUGAAAAUAUUUCCUAGCACAAAGCGAUUGUCCCCUAAAGACAGUUUCAUAGUCAUGUUGUCUCGAUGAAUUAACAAUCCAGACUGUGGCAGUCGACCACGUUCUUCUAACGACGUCCCACACCUCCAUGACCUGUGUAGACCUGACGAUCUCCAACCACCCUUGCAUCCGAACAAACUGACAAACCUCAAACCCCCAAACUGAUCAACCUAAAAUCCUCAAGGCCAACAGCAUCCGUGAACGAUCACAUCAUGCAUGGAAAUCUAGCGUAAAUGUCCAAAUGCGCUCACUCUGCCUCAGAUGCAUCGAUUAUACACAAAUUCAACAAUGUAGGAAAGACCGGCUGACAUACAUGGCUUGCGAACCCUGGGUUUCAUUGGUUACCUGUGUUCCACCCCCUCUUACUAAGAGGGAGUGAAAGUGCAAUCAGUAACUUAUAUGCUGCCCUUACAUUCCCAGUCCCAUGGAAAAGAGUGGCAUUCGUCCCAAGUCCUGCAAUUUCCAUGAGGUAAAACAUCCGAACUGAUUUCCACCGGUUAAAGAAAGAGGCCACAAUACUGUCGGCUACAUUCCUUCAACAUCUUCGGCUUAGGAGUUCUCAGGCUGUUAAGCAGGUUCCCUUGACGAUUCCUAAGUCUCUGAUACUCUGAAGUACUCUCUUCUCGCUCUAAAAGACAAGAUUGUUGAUCUGAGUUAAUCCAGAAGGUUUUAGAAGGUGAUGGCGACUAGCGAUUGGGACAACAAGAAAUUGACUAUGAAACCAACGCAACAUUAUAUCCAGAUGCGACACAUACAGCAAGCCCAACAGACAUGCAUCCCGACAGCUCAACAGCCAUUGAAUACCAAAUCUGUCAAAAUACACUUGAUGGGUAGAAGCACGUGAUAGUAUUAUCCAGAAAUGGUCCUCUACACCAACUCAAAAAGCUUGACUGUCUCCAGCAAGGAGUGUUCUACCAUCUGUGACGUCUGUACAGUUUCCUGAUCACAAAUUCAUAAGAACAACAGAGGAAGACUACGCUAGAAAAGGUUGACUCAAUAUUGCAGGUAACUGAAGAAAAAUCUCAUUUUUACAUGAGUACACAAAAAAAAAAGUCGAAAAUACAGGCGGAGGUCACGGAAACGAGCAGAGCCUCCUACUCCAGGAACAAUAGGGCCAGUGCACUUCUAAGUGCGACAGAGGACCGUUGAAGGACUAGAAAUCAUUGAGGACUAGCCUUGCUGGUAUUUGGCGUCUUAUUUGCAAGACUGGUUCCUUUGAAUUUUGCAUUUAUACUCCUCAAAUCCACCAAGUCGUCGAACAACGUGUCAGGUGAUUUCAAAGGCUUGGAAGAUCCAGUAUACUUUUGUGAUGUAGACUGACCAUAUGCACUUCCUCUUGAGUUAAGAUACUGACUACCAAAAUUGUCACCAGGACCUGUCCCAGAGCCAUAUCUAGAUAAAUCAUUGGAAGCUGGAUGACCUUGGUAAGCCGAUUGAAAUGACUGCUGACCUGGACUCGGCUGGAUUGCGUAACCUGUAUACCCUGCUCCCGGGUACUGUUGCAUGCCAGCCAUAGCUGACUGCUGGCCUGCAUUCCACAUCUGGGGUGCGUACGGGUACGAAGCCUGAGGAGUCCCUUGCCACUGCUGAUCUGCUGGUGGCGCCUGCAUAUCCUCUUGCCAUGGAGGUGGAGUUGCGGCUACUGGCUGUUGCGGAUAAAUAUAUUGCGGGUUUUGCAAUGGCUGUCCUGAAACUGUUGGUUGUGUUGGAACCUCACCAUAUAAGGAACCUUGCUGCGUCUGAUUGCCAGCAGCAGAAGUAUUAGACCAUGAAUUUUCUGAACGUACCACUGGUGUUGCAGGUUGCUGUUGGAAACUCUGUGGAGGGAAUGCUGGGGUCGGAGCUUCUUUUUGUGGAUUAGCCUGAAAAGGCGAAGACUCAAAAGGAUUCGGAAAUGCCUCAGGUGCAGGCAAAGCCAAGAGAUCCACUGACUGCUUUUGUUGAGGUUGAUCUAUUACUGUCAAAGCCAAAGCAUCAGAGGAACUCGCUUCUGACUGACUAGUAGGUGGGAGAUCGCCACUAAGAAGGUCAAUUGUCGGAUCGGCAGGUCUUGCACUCACCACACUUUGUGAAACAGGCUUCUUACUUGAAGGAGGUGGAGGUAAAGCGACGGCUGAGUAGAUAGUCCGUGCACUAUUCGCUGGUCUUGCAUUAGCCCCUGCUCUUUGAGGUGAAUUUUGAGACGGUGCUCUGACACAAGAAUAACAUGCGCUUAUGUGAUAUCAGGGCUUUCACUAACACCAGAAUUUUUUUUUAAACUUAAGCAUUGUAAAACUGACCAGAAAAUAUCAAAAUAACUAGUACGGCUAAGCAAUAAGAUGAAGCUGCAAUUUUCAGUGUUUACACAACUGUCCUUCGCACCAGUUGCGAAAUUUCCUAUCAACUAAAACAAUAUUCACAAAACGGACUGAAAUGCUGUCUUACUUGGAAGAAAGAAGGGUAUCAUCCCCACCAGAAGGCUUCUGAGGCUGAGUCUUGCUUUCAGUAGAUGUUUCGGGAAUGGGAGCCCCAGACAAGAAAGCAUCGUAUCUGGCAAGCACUCGCUGCAACUCAUCAUUCAAAGCCAGACCCUGACAAAGUAGGUCCUCAUCACUGCACGUGCAACUCACUCGAGUUAAUACGUUAUCGUUUGAAUUAUAUGUAAUUUUAAGUGGAAGAGGUCAGAGAAGUGAAUAAUUAUCUGUAUCAUGAACAGAAUAUAAAGUGGAGAAGGCAUACGAAGAUAUGUUGACGAGCUGCAUGACCCGGCGCUGAUUUACUCGGCACUGGUCCACAAGCUCCACAAUAACCUCCUCCUUGGCAGACUGCACGUAGACCGGGGAAUGUCAUUGAUGACAGCAAAUUGUCAAACUAACCACUUCGGUACGUUAUCCUAUAUCUAUACUUUGUGCACGACUCACACAAUACGGAUAUCUGAGAGAAUAUCUUUGGUGCAUAUCCAGUGGAAUAUUGACGCAGAAAAAGGCAAGGCAAAAUGUCGAUAACAUAAAUAAACAAAAAUACCAACAAAAGUCGAGAAAAAGCCACACAUUACUUUCUAGAAAUAACGGUUGAAGUUGCCUACAGAAAAGGAGCGGUACCAUUCAGAACUCUAACGAGUGAAAAUGUUCAAAUUUGUUACCUCAUUCUACACGUUACCAACUCAAUGAGGCCCCAUUAUGUAAUGACAUCCAACCAAACUAGACCAUUACCUUAUUUUCGGUACAUAAACUAAACCCACAGAAUUGUGAAGGGUGAGAUGCAUACCAUUCGAUCUCGUGGAUUCAGAGCCAAAAUCAUAUCCUGUAAGAGUUCCACCAGAUUUUGCGCAUUUUUAAUGUCCUGCAAGCUGUGACACAACGAAAUGAACUGUGAGAAAAUCAGAGUAAACAAGAAAACACGCACCCCAGAAUGUAAUAAAACAGAAUAGAAUCUAUCAGAUAUUAGUAAAAUCAAACCAGGCCCACAAGAAACGACAUUCAUACCUUCCUACCUGGAAUUGGUGCAAGGAUAAACUCGAACAGCUGCAAAUAUGAUAUAACCCUAUACUAAAACUCAUUGAUUCAGAAAAUACCUCAUUACUGAGGCCUCUGUGUCAUCUGGCCUUGGAGUAGGUGGUGCUGAUGAUCUUGGUCCAUGUUGGUGCAGUGGACGAGGACUAGCGAGAGGUUGUGACUGAGGCGGAGUGAAGAUGGGCGGUGCUGCCUCUCCUGUGCGUCGUGGGAAUUCAACGCCUGCUUUCUGGCAAACACAGACAGAAAAAAAUAAUAAAAUAAUAAAAUAAUAAAAUAAUAAAAAACGAUCAAGGUAUUGCAGAAGACUAUAUGUGUUGAAAUUGGAGGUAAAGAAUAAUUAUGAUUGGAAACAUUCUUAAUAACACAAAGUUGUGACCAGACAUUACUAUUUGAUGAUACAUAGUACAGGAGAGCCAAAACGAAUAACCAGAUCAAGAAGGCAGCCAAACACACUAUUAUGAGAAUUUUAAUCACUAUUAGGAAAGUAAAAACCUAUUCCCACCAGCAAUUCAUUGUAUGCCAUGUAAUACUGUGGGUAUCGACCACUGGCGCCCCCGAAAGCUUCUUGCCACGAGUCCAAUAAAACAAGAGUUUUGUCCCUCACCCGCAUUUCUGCCUGACAAAGCAUGAAGCAAAUACAUACAACCAAUACAUCACUAAUUAGCAUAAUCACCUUGAUACUCUGCUACUUUUCGUUAACCAAUGAUAAGGGGAACUUUACAAAUUCUUCAGCACAGAACAUCUUGUUAGAAAAAAGGAGGUAAAAAGCGCAUGCAACUAAUAUGCAGCACAUGGCAAUCAAACAUAGAUGCCGCCAACAUAUACUAGUAAAUAUCAACAGCAAUCCGUCAACUUACUUUUUUCUUAACAAGCUUGACCAAUUCGUGCAGCACAUCUUUCUCAGCCACUUGCUGGUGCACAUAAUCUCCGCAAUUUUUUAUCAAGGUUUCUAGGACCUACAAGAGAAAUAUCAACCAGCUUAUCAAGUGCUGCAAAAGUACACAGACAUACACACACCCGAAACUAUGACAUCCAAACCUCUUUGUUUAAUAAUACCAUAAGUAGCAUACUGAUAAAGCGCUCAAAAAUCCUCAUGCAUUGAAAAUCCAGCAAGAAUAACCAUACUUUACAGAUUACCCAGAGUGAUGUCUAACUCUAGAAAACUGAAUUGCCAUAACAGAGUAUCACAAGCUGAGUGAGAAGUAGACCGUGAGUGCCAAAAGCUGGACUUGCGGAUUCUUGUUCCCAAGCCGCUUCUUGAGAGCUUUCACUAUUUCUUUUGCUUGUCUGAUACAACACCAGCAUUGAGCUAAAUUAGUAAUCAGUCUUGAUCUUGUCGACUACACCGACCAGACAAAUCAGGUACAACUUCCAGAAAAUGUUCGGUAUUCAUUCCAAGGGGAACAACACCAUCCAGAUGAUUUAUCCACAAAUUGCUUCAUAGAUCAAAGAGCCGAGAACAGGGCCAAGCGUUGGGCCAACUACUACCAUUCUUUGUGUAUCUAGAGAGCUCUAGUAAUAAUUCCUGUACCAGAAAUUUCAUCAAAAAUGGUGUAUUCGCAAUCCAUUGGAACCACAAGAAAUCGCUUCAACUGUACUGGACGAAAAUCCAUAAUGGGCCUACUUAGCAUACACAGUUCAAUCUAUAUUGAAACCCAGAUUUCAGCCUAGAUAUGGGGCACAAAUGCGACUCCGGAGAAUGCUCUAUAAAACUCAGAUUCGCUCGAUCUGGUUUCUUAAUAUCCUGAUCGACCAAAGAACCUACCAAGUAAUUCAGAGACAAUCUUGUUGCUCUUCGUUAAAGAUUAAUCCACUAGGCGCAUGCACCGAAACACAGCAAUCGAAUAACACACACACACAUAUAUAUAUAUAUAUAUAUAUAUAUAUAUAUAUAUAUAUAUUGAUUAAGACUAAGUCCAAGCCGGUAAACCAAAAAACAACAGUCACUGAAAUUCAGUAUAUCCUCAAAAGCACGGUAUAUAAACUCCACAAACACGGAAUAUCACCCAAGCAGCACAAAGUGCGAAAUUAAACAAAAUCAAAAUUCAGUGUUAAAACCCGCG
rnacentral:lncRNA from 1 species